GCAGGGGACUUUUGGCUGGGUACAGGCCAAUUGCCGAAAGGCGAAGGAGAGGGGUUAUUUUAUUGGACACAAGCCCACAACGCAAAAGUCCUGGAGGAACAGGUGGUGCAUGGCCUACGGGGACUGGGAGAGUCCUCCAGGGAAGAGCGUUGUCCAGCACAUUCCUACCCACUUCCAGUCUAUAGGUCCUGGGCCCCAUUCCUUAAGACUGUUUGAUGUUUGAUAGUGUUUUGCUGUAGCUCUUGUUCUUGGUUCUCUAUUUUGUCUGUGCCAGUAUAAAUGGCUAAGUAGUAUCUAACCUUUGGUGCAGGUUCAGUGAAGUGGGGGCCUAUCUCCAAGGAGCAGGAAGACGAGGUUGAGUGGGUGAGGGCGCAGCUAUCAGAGACUGAGCGUGAGUGCGGGAACCUAGUCACGCAGAAGAAUUUGUUUGAGUCCGGACUGUUGCAAGGAAGUAAGUACCUGGGUUAUCUUUUUGUUGUGUGCUGAGCCUUUGUGAGUUUGAGUAAUAGAAUUGCUUUGUUUGUUUUGACAGUGGCUGGCAUCAUAAGGGGGAGUACGAAGGUGGCCGUAGACAUUGAUGAGGCCGAGAUGCAGAAGCGGCUGAGGGAUUCUCGGGCCAAGAAGGCUGAGAAGAGUGCUGGAAAACGACCCAGGGAUGAUGAUGAGGGUCGGGUCGCGGACGUGCUGGGGAAAAGGAAAGCCUUGGAGGAGGCUCAUCAGCAUGUGAUGGGGUCAAGGCCGAGACUUCCGCCCUUUGAUCUGCAGGCACCGCCGAAGCUACCCUUCGGCAUGGAGGACGUGUUCGCUGAAGGGGUAGAGAAGGUAGACUUCGGCAGGCUACGCCAGCAGAAGAAGGAGGUCAACCUGGCUAUGCACCGGCAGGAGGUGCCUUUAGUGAACGUCUUCCUGGAAGGCGUGAAGAGCGACCCUGAGGCUCUGGCGAGGACUCCAGCUUCUUCCUUCAUUGACCGGCCCAAAAGACGAUCCUCACCUCUGCCUAUGUAAGUGUUUAGGCCCUUUUUGAAUGUAUUUGUGUUGGAUUAUUUUUGUGUGGAUUGACGAACAUGGUUUUUGUUUUGCAGGCCUUUGGCGAGAUGUACGUCAGCAUGGCCAAGGCUGACAAGGAGAUCCAGAGGCUGAAGAGGCGGGAUGAGCUAGCCAAGAGCAAAAUGGUGGAGGCGCAGGAGGCCAUCCGAGAGAAGAACGCCUUGCUGGUUCAGAAGGCGGCCCUGGCCAAGGAGGUGGAGGAGCUGAAGAAAUCGAAGGCCGAGGAGGUGGCUGCUGCCCGAGUCGAGGCGAUUGAGUCAUUCCGAUCCUCAGAGGAGCUGAAGAGCUAUAUCAUGGACCGGCUGGUUGAUGAGCAGCUUCGCUGGGAAGAUAGGUUGGUUAGGUUCAACCCCUCGGUUGAGAUCAACUUUGACAUGAGUGACGAGCCUCCUGCACAGUCUCCUCCUGCUGAUGCCAGUGUCCCGACACCAGAGGCGGAGCCAGCCACUGAGGAAGCCCCUUCCACCGAGUCUUGAAGGCGUUGCAUUCUGUUGUAUUCUAGCUAUUUUGUUUAUUUUUGCUUUGUAUGAACAGUUUGCCUGGCGUGGAGCAAGGUUGUUUUGCUUUAUGAUAUGAGACUUGGUUUGAUAUCAAUUGUGUUAGUAAAAAUGAUAACAAUGUGAGUGCAUGAGAAUGAGCCGGAGUCAGACAUUUCAUUGAAAUAGAUGCCGAAAGGCAGAAGGUACAAGUGGUCUAGGGUCUAGAUACCUUACUUCUACCUUACAGUAAAUAAUCAAGACCAAAGUAUUGUCCUAGGGUCUAGAUAUGUUUACUUGUAAUAGUACUUGAGGUGGUCAGCAUUCCACGGGUGAGGCAGCGUCUUGCCUGUGGAAUCACGAAGCUGAUAAGUGCCGGGGCGGCAGAUUUUGAUAAUCUCAUAAGGACCUUCCCAUGUAGGGCCGAGGGUACCUUCGUUGGGAUUUUUGGUAGCCAAGGAGACUUUGCGCAUGACCCAGUCCCCCAUUUUGAAAGCAUGGGGCUUGACUCGGGAGUCGUAAUAUUUGGCGAUCCGUUGUUUGUACGCGACAUUACGCAUGCUCGAUUGGUCCCGGAGCUCGUCAAUGAAGUCGAGGUUGAGGGCCAACUGCUCGUCAUUGGCCGUGGCAUCGUAAGUGGAGGUUCGGUAUGUGGGCUGGCCAAUCUCUACCGGAGCCACGGCCUCGGUUCCAAAUGAUAGGGAGAACGGCGUUUCACCCGUGGAUGUGCGGAAGGUGGUGCGGUAGGACCAGAGUACUUCUAGGAGCAGUUCUGGCCAGCAACCCUUGGCUUUGUCAAGUUUUGUCUUGAGGGUCUUCUUGAUAAUUUUGUUCACGGCUUCGACCUGGCCAUUGGACUGAGGAUGGGUUGGGGAGGCGAAACACAGACGAAUCUUGAGGUUGGAACAAAAUUGUUUGAAUUUGGCGUUGUCAAAUUGCCGGCCAUUGUCGGUGACGAUGGAGUUGGGGAUGCCGAAGCGACAUACAAUGUUUUGCCACACGAAGGAUUCGAUGCGAGCCGCAGUGAUGGUGGCCAAGGCAUCGGCCUCAGCCUACUUGGUGAAGUAGUCUACGGCCACAACUGCAUACUUGACUUGGCCCUUGCCCUCUGGCAUAGGUCCAAUGAGAUCUAGUCCCCAUUGGGCAAAUGGCCAAGGGCUGACGAUGGCAGUCAAUGGUUCAGCCGGGAGUUGUGGAAUGUUGGCAAAUCGCUGACACUUGUCGCAUUUCUGGGUGAAUUCCUGGGCGUCAGUGUGGAGCGAUGGCCAGAAGUAUCCUUGGCGGAUUGCCUUAUGGGCCAGCGAGCGUGCGCCCGAGUGGUUACCGCAUAUGCCUUCAUGGAUUUCUCGAAGGACAUAGUGACCCUCCUCUGGAGUCAGGCAUUGGAGGUAAGGAAGGCUGAAACCCCGCUUGUAUAAGGAGCCGUUAAUGAUCAGGUAACGGGCAGAGCGAUGGCGAACGCGUCGUGCUUCUGCUGGAAUAGCCGGUAGUGUUCGGUUUUGUAAGAACUGGAGGAUGGGGUCCAUCCAUGUAGGGCUGUGAUCAAUAGUGCAGAUGAGUGGGGCUUGUGUGCUGGGCUGGGCCAAAAACUCGAUGUGGAUGUGGCGACCCAUUCCUUGCUCCAAGGCUGAUGCCAACCUGGCUAGUGCAUCGGCAUGGCUAUUUUCGGAGCGCGGCACUUGCUUGAUAGAGUGGGCGUGGAAGGUCGCCAGCAAGUGCCGAGCAUGCUGGAGGUAGGCCGUCAUAGAGGCAUCCUUAGCCGUGAAGUCCUGGUUGACCUGGUGGACCACGAGUUGUGAAUCGCUGAAUAUCUGAAUUUGCCUGGCGUCCAUCUCUUUGGCUAAUCGAAGACCAGCUAAGAGUGCUUCAUAUUUGGCCUCAUUGUUGGAGGCUUGGAAUUUGAAGCGAAGGGCGUACUCGAGGGCAACCUUGUCUGGGGAGAUGAGAACGAGGCCGGCCCCACAGCCCUGGGCAUUAGAAGAGCCGUUUACGAAUAAAGUCCACAGGGGCUGGGUUAGGUCGAGAUUGCCUUCGGUGGGGGUUUGGUCCUGGCUGGGAGGGGGAUUGGGUUCGGUUAUGAGCUGGGUAUCUGCGGAAGUUCGGGGCUUCGUGAAUUCAGAUAGGAAGUCAGCAACGGCCUGCCCCCUCAUAGCCGGGCGGGGUUUGUAAUGAAUAUCAAACUCGCCCAGUUCAAUGGCCCAUUUGACCAGCCUCCCAGAAGUUUCUGGGUUCUGCAACACCUGUCGGAGCGGUUGGUUGGUUAAGACAUGGAUGGUGUGAGCUUGGAAAUAUGGUCGGAGGCAUCUUGCCGAGACGACCAGGGCGAACGCCAAUUUUUCGAUGUCCGGGUACCGAACUUCGGCAUCUUGCAAUGCUUUACUAACAUAAUGCACUGGGUGUUCCGCGUUAUCUUUUGAUCGGAUGAGCACAGAGCUAACAGCCNNNNNNNNNNNNNNNNNNNNNNNNNNNNNNNNNNNNNNNNNNNNNNNNNNNNNNNNNNNNNNNNNNNNNNNNNNNNNNNNNNNNNNNNNNNNNNNNNNNNUCAGGGGUUGACAAUAAAGGACCCGGCCCAAUAUACUCCUUGAAGCUCGAUGAAAGCCGGUCGCAUUCAGCAGUCUAGAUGAUGUUUCUUUGGUGCCUUUAAGGACCUUGAAGUAUUGGGGCGCAGCGGUCAGUGGCUUGGGAGAUAAAUCUGGUCAGGGCGGCGACACGCCCUGUAAGGCUUUGGAUAUCUUUGACCGUCUUAGGUACCGUCAUGUCUAAGAUGGCCUGGAUCUUUUUUGGGUUGGCUUCAAUACCCCUUUGGCUGAUCAUGAAGCCAAGGAAUUUGCCGGAAGCCACCCCGAAUGCACAUUUGGUGGGGUUAAGCCUCAUUUUGUACUGCUUCAGGAUGGUGAACAUGGCAGAGAGGUUGGGGAUGUGUUGGUCAGCCGUGCGACUCUUGACUAGCAUGUCAUCGACAUAGACCUCCAUGGUAUUGCCAAUCAGGGGGGCAAAGAGCUGAUUCACCAGACGCUGAUAAGUAGCCCCGGCGUUUUUGAGGACAAAGGGCAUCACCUUAUAGCAGUAGAGGCCGCGGUCCGUAAUGAAAGAGGUGUGAGCCUGAUCUUCGGGGUGCAUGAAGAUCUGGUUGUAACCUGAAUAAGCAUCCAUGAAGCUGAGGAGGGCGUGGCCGGCUGUGGCGUCGACUAGCUGGUCAAUGCGGGGUAGCGGGAAGCUGUCCUUUGGGCAAGCCCGAUUAAGGUUGGUGUAGUCGAUACACAUGCGCCAGCCCUUUCUUGGCUUGCGGACCAUCACGACAUUAGCCAGCCAUGUAGGAUAGUCAACCUCCCUGAUGAAUCCGAUGCUACUCAAUCGAUCCACCUCCGCCCUCAUGGCCUCAUAGCGCUCGGUUUCAUACGCGCGACGCUUCUGUCUGACUGGUCUGACGGCAGGAUUGACGCUAAGCCUAUGGGAUAUGAUGUCUGGUGAUAUGCCAGGCAUGUCAUUGUAGGACCAUGCGAAGACUUCGGAGUUGAGGCGGAGGAAGGCGACCAGGUCGGAGCGAAGCUCUGGCGAGAUGGAGGUGCCGAUCCGGACUUGUCGAUCCGGGAUAUCGUCAUGGAGGGUAACCAGCUCCAGGUCCUCCAUGGGUUCGGCCUGUGGUGCGAUGGACUCCUCCCUUGGGUCUUCAGGUGGUUCUGUGCCAGCUUGAGGAGGGGCGGGAGCCUUGGUUACUGCUAGGGCUUCACUCCUAGGUUGGUGAUUGGUGGAUUUUACUGCUGAAGCAUAGCAGCUUCGGGCCCCGAGUUGGUCGCCGCGCACCGUGCCUGGGCCAUUAGGAGUGGGAAACUUCAACAGCAGCAUAUGCGUGGAAAUAAAAGCCCUCAUUUUGGCCAAGGCUGGGCGGCCGAGGAUGACGUUGUAGGCUGUGGGGCAAUCGACGAUAAGGAAGGGGGUAGUGAUCGUCGUCCGCUGGGGUGCGGCCCCAAUUGAGAUAGGGAGAUGAAUGCUGCCAAUGGGCUGGACCACAUCACCCGAGAAGCUCACAAGGGGUGUGAUGCUUCGGUCGAGUAGGUGAGGCGGGACCUGGAGUUCAUUGAAGGCCUCAGCAAACAUCACACUGACCGAGCUGCCAGUGUCCACCAGGAUACGCCCAACGUCGAAGUUAGAAAUGUCAGCCCGGAUAAUGAGUGGAUCAUCAUGGGGGAGGAUAACACCACGCUCCUCCUCCUCGCAGAAGGUAAUGGGGGCCCAGCCAGUCCUGUGGGUCUUUGGCAAGCGUCCCUGCUCGGUGCUGAAGACCUGGUGCGCAUAGGUGGAGCGGACAUAAUGUUUGAUGGAGUUGUUGGAGGUGCCAGCCAGGGUAGGACCUCCGCUGAUGGUGGAGAUCAUGUUGAUUUGUCGUUGGUGAGGGUUAGGCGGGGCUGGUGUGUUGCGCACAUAGUUGUCCAGCUUGCCCUCCCGGAUGAGCCCUUCAAUUAUGUUGCGCAACGCAACACAAGACUCGGUGUCAUGGCCGCUGAAUUGAUGAAAGCGGCAGAAGACCCCCGUGUUUGGCAUAGGCUUGUUGGAUGGUCUCCGGGGGGGUGGCUUGGGGAUGAUGGGGGCUUCACGCACCAGGACGUUCUCAUAGGUGGUAUUGAGGGUCGUGAAAACCUCAAACCUGGGCCUGGGUGUGAAUGGAAGUGGGGCCCGAUCACCUGUCUUGGGAGGGUUGCUUCCGCUAGAGUGGUGGUGGUUGCCAUGUCUGCCACGUUUGUUAUUACCAAAGGGAUGCGGGUAGCUAUCCUUCCGCUUAUGUUGUUGGUUGUCCUGGGCACUCGGGGCAGGGGUAGAAUGCUGAGGUGGGGCUGGGGCGGGUGCUGAAGCAGGUGGAGGAUCAGCGAAAGCGUUGCGCAUCAGGUUGGCUGGGCCACGCUUGGAAUUGAAGUAUUCAGCCUUAGCAUGGACUGCCGCCUGCUUCAUCAGCUCUGCAUAUGUGUUCCAACUGUUGCUAUGAACCAGGUAGCGGAAGUUGGACUUGCGGAGGCCGCUCUUAAAAGCGCCGAAGGCAGCGCGAUCGUCAGUGUCUGGGCAGCGGGAGUAUUCAUGACUGAACCGAGCUGCAUAUUCCCGAAGGGGUUCGUCCUCAGCCUGCCUAAGCAUAUACAAGUCGUCGGCAGAGUAUAGGCGAUCAGUCUGGAUCAUAAAUGGUCCAGGAACGUCUGCUUGAGACUAUCGAAGGAGUUGAUGGUGCGGGGGUGGAGGCUGUAGAACCAAUUCAGGGCCGUGCCGCUGAGGGUGGAAGGGAAAAGGAGGCACAUGCCUUCAUCAGUGAGGCCUUUGCACCCAAGGGCAGACUGGAAGGAGUGGAUGUGGGUGAGAGGGUCCUCCGUGCCAGUGUAGAAAGCGAUGCGGAGUGGCUGGAUAUCUUUCUCCUGGUGGUAGUGGAGGAUGCGUUCAGUAAAGGGCCCUGGUCGUGGUUUUGCCCAGAGGGGUUGAUGGCUGCGAUGUUGUUCGCUUUCCAGGCGCCGGACCUUUUCAAAGAGAAGCCUCAUGGCCGGGUCGGCAUGAGGAAGAGUUUCAGGUGCCAAAGGCCUGGGGGCGGGGCAGACGGGGACUGGGGAUUGUUCCCAAUUUUCCAGCGCCCCGGCGUGGUAAUUUGGCCAGGUCUCUGAAUUAUAGAAUUCCCAAGUAUCCGAGUCCCCGACACCUUCCUCGUCGGGUAUGCGGACGGGGGCUGGCGAGGGGCCCAGGUGUGUCACCCGUGGGUCUUCGAGGUUGACAGGGAUAGGGAUCGGCCUUGGCUGACGGUCCGAGAGGCGAUCCCUGCAAUCUUGGUAGAUCCUGACUGGUUCAUGGGGCCGGUCCCUCGGUGGGGGAACGCAAAGGGGUCGUGACUGGGUUAUCUCCGGAUGAAGGUGGUCUUUACCCUUGCGGAGCCUAGCUUGGGCCGAGGCACUGUGGCUGGAAUGUACUGGCUGGUUCGGCUGAGUAAGCCUAACGUUCUGGGUGAGGUCUUGCUGGGCAUCCUGGGUGUGAGUCCUUUCCCAGUUCCGCUUUAAAACACGGUAGUCAUGUUCUAGCUCAACGUUCCUGCAAUGAAGGUGCUCGUAUUUUUCUGACAUUUUAGUGACACUGUCGCGGAGGCGCUCCACUUCUGCCUGGAGAGUGGCAUCUUCCGAAGAUUUCCUUCUAGAAGUACCAUCGCGGGGGGUAUGAUGCUGGGUAUCGCGGCUAUCCUCGGUCGGCAUAGCAGAAUGUGGGGUGAAGAAGAGGCGACGGGGCCUGAGGGGUGAAGGAGCCAGCUGGGCUGAUAGAGAAUGCGGGGAUUCAAGUGUCGAUUUUCCACAGACGGCGCCAAACUGUUGAUGCUCAAAAUGGCUCGGCCAAUAGUGAGUCCAACUUAGUGAUUAGGUAUGCGGGGUCUUCAGCAGGGAAGAGAGCUGAGGCCCUUGGUGAAAUAUAGGUUGAUGGGAAACCUGCAGAAGACAAAGUGGGAGAAGCAAUCGUUAAGCUUCGGACACCGGUGUGGUGCCGGCCGAAGGCUCUCCGAUGCCUAAGUCAGUUACAAGUAGUAAUUCUGGCAGAGUAACAGUAAAAGUGGGAGAAUAGUUACCCUUUUUACCUGGGUACUGUUCCCUAUUUAUAGGGAGGUGAAAGUAGGAGGUUUGCACAAAGUUCCGAUGUGGGACUUUGUGCAAGUCGUGGUGGUGGCGACACGUGUCCUGGAGAUUAGGUUUGGCAGCUGGGAGCUUCGGUAGGUGUCUGGCACCUCGGAAGUGUGUCUUCCUUCGGCACAGGAAAAGGCGUGGCUGCCUUGGUGCUAGUCACUUUGGUGCUAGGUCUGCUCGGUUCAUUAUGGUGUAAACACUAGGAAUAAAUCUUUGGAGCAAUUGAAAUUGAGGAAGGGAAUAUUAUUUUUAUAAUAUUGUUAUAAGGGUUACGAACUCCACCAUCAUACGUACCUUCCCUGGUUACUAUACACACACGUGCCGUAUUUUGGGCGUGUGGGCUCUCUUAGUUACGGAUCCUGGAAUUGUGAGAUGCAGAAAAAAUUGUGGAAAUUUGGAUAUGUUGGAACUCGGACGCCCUUGAACAGGGGUUCGUGGACCCUUAACAGGGUAGUCUGCGCACAUAGGACUGGUUACAGGCGUAUGAGUCUUGAGGAUUCGGCAAUACGUUCUGGCUGAGAGUUAGUCCUCCGGUUGGACGACUCGUUCCCUAGCCACAUGGUUGUUGAGGAUUCCUCCAUGUGGUCUAGUCAAACGAUCCCUGGAUUGGAUUAUUUUCCCCUGAUACAUGAUGAUGGUGAGAGGUGGAUGUGGUUACUUAUAUAUAAAUAUAUGGACACGCAUAUUAUAUAGGUACAUGUGGAUUUGUUUCCGGAUUGAGAUCCGUGAGGUUGUGCUUUGUGAUUACCCUGCACUGAUAUGGAUGUCUGAGUCCCAAAUUGGAAAGUGUUGUUUGGCAACAUACGGCUUGGAUAGGGUAUAGUUGCGCGGGAAGAAUUGAUAUAUUAAGGAAUCUAAAGUUAUUUGUUGGUGUUACUUAAAAGAAAAAUUAUAUAUCAUUGGAGCUGUGACAGUUGAUGUAGAACUACGUGUGGCUUGAUCCCUCGGUAAGGGUACGUAGAUAGUCUAGGGUCUUACCUAGGUGCAGUCGCGGACUAAAUUUUACUUAUGUUGUUUUAUUGAGUUUGGUUCUGACCUUGACGUUGGUCCUGAAACUCGGUUGAAAUCGAGGUGGGAUUAGAUAAUUGUUCAUACUCCCGUUUGGCUAAGAGAGGGUUGUGUAAAUGUGUUAUGGUCAAAACUGGAGUAAAACCCAUUUGAAUUGUUGUAUGGUUUGGACUGAGGCCUUAAACUACUUGUGUUUGUAUUAGAAUGUUAAACAUCACAUGAUGGAAAUUGGGAAGUCAUUUUAUGUUGAUUACAGUGGGCAUUCAUAAAAUGGUUUGAAUUAGUUAUUUGCAUUGUUUGGCGUAGUAUUUGACUUAAGAGCUUUGUUGGUGGUUUGAUUUCGGAUUAUUUGAAGGCCGGAGGCCAUUUAUUUGAAUUGCGUAUUAUUAUAUUGUGCAUGCUGCCAGUUCUUAAUAUUAAUUGUGAAUUUUGAAUAGGUUAAAUUUUUUUUUGGGAAAAUCCGAUUUACAGGGGAGACUCUACUGAAAUUUUGGCAGAAAGUCUUGUACCCUUUUUCCUUAAUUUUGGAAAAGAGGAUAUAAUUUCUAAAGUGGGCCCAGCAUCGAUGGGAUGUCGGGAAUUCCACAGAAUUCGUCCUAGGUUCUGAGGAAUUUGGGGCCGGUCCUGUCAUUUGGUUCGACUGUUUUGGUCAUAAUUCUUAUGCUUGACUUUUCUAGAUAGAGGAAUAGAUGCUAAACCAUACUAUUCACAAAAAUCUCCGAAUUCAUAUUUAGCUGAAUUUCUUUCUGACUGAAUUUUUUUUUACCUAUUUUCAUGUCAACACACAUUUUCAUUCCUACUUGGUUAAUUGUACUAAUAAUAUUUCCAUAAGUUAAACUAUCGAAAUCUAUGUGACCAUGAUCAUUACUUAGAACUGUUCGUAUUUUGUGUGUGAAAAGAUUGGGAAGACCGUUAACAAAUUUUUCUUUCAAAAAUGGUUGAUUACUGUCAUCUCUUAGCAUGACUCUAGAUAUAAAGAUAUCUUUGUACCAUCUGAAUUCACUUAACUUGGGACAGCAAAGGUUGCUAAGUUGAUCAUGAAUUCUGGCUGUAGUGUUACUAUGUGUUCCUAUGAAAUGUUCAAUUAUUGUGUAUAAUAAGGUAUUGACUCCUUCUUCUAUUCCCGUAUUGACAUUUUCAUCAAAUAUAGGGAAUCCAUCUUCAUUUAGUUUUACUGUCGUUUUGACUCUUCUGUGAGAUGUUUAUCCCACCAAGAACGUAAAGUUCCUGUAAAUCCUGUUUCUAAGAGGGGCACUAUUUCUGACUGUCUAAGGUUGUGAUUAGUGAUGUAACUAUUGGUGACCACAUACAUAUGCUGCAAUUUAUUUAUAAUUUCUUGUUCAGACAGGCCAUCUAUAUUCCAUUCAUAAAGUUUAUCAAAAGAGACUAAGAAUUGGCUUUGAAAAUUUCUUUCUUCAAACUAUAUAUCUGGGGAAGUUGGCUUAGGAUAUCAGUUCUUUGUUAAACUAGUGGGAUUUAUUUUACUCCUUAGUCUACUGAGUUUUAAAUUAUUAAAGGUGUUUUCUAUUUUUGAUACAUUACUAGAAUCAGUAUCAGUGUCAGGGCUUGACUCUGUAUCUAUUGGGUUUACUUGGAUGACCUUAAGGGUUGAGGAUGACUCUGGUUUAGUGGGUUUUUCUUUGACUGAUGUCAAUUGUUCAAGCAUUUCUUCUAUUUUCUUCAUUGUGGGAGUUGUCUUAAGUGUUCGACCAGGUUUUAGGUCUUGGAAUUUGACUAAAGGUUUUUCUUUCUUAGGUUUGGGGUUCACUUCUUGGGUAAGAAUUUUAUCAAAUUUUGUUUCUAUCUUAUCUAGUUGUUUUCCUAAAAUUAUUAGACUUUGAUUUGUAUAAUUACUUUGCUCAAUCAAUUUUUUAUCAUUUUGUUCAGGGAUUUUAAAGGGACUGGCAGUGAUUUUAGCAUUUUUAUGAUUAAUAAUAAUUGUUUCUACUAGUGGAUGACUAGCUAUGACUUGUUGUCUUCUUUUUUCCACUUUUCUUGCGUUAAAGUCUUUAUUUCUUUCCUUUGCUGAUAAAGAUUUUCAACAAAAUCAAGAAAGUAUAUUUCUGACUUAGUUUGCAACAUGCAAGUUUUCCAUUCAUUAAAAAUUUGUUGUCUUUAUUCUUUACUUGGAUCGGUUGUUCUAUAUCUAUUGCGUCUUUCAAUAUUUUCUUCUAACUCGAGAUGUUUGUCAAGAGUUUUCCAAUGUAUUUUAAAUUUCUUAUUUAGGGUUCUUAAUUGGUUAUCUACUGGGAUGGCUUCGUAUUCGAAAUCUGUUAGAGUUUGGUCCUUCAUUUUCUUCGAUUAGUUUUUUAUUGUAACAUGGGUGACUAACCUGGGAGCUUUUCCUAAGUGAUUCUAGCUUCAAGUCGAUUAGGGUUUUUUCUAAUUCUAAAUCUCUUUCUAGAGUAGAGGAGGAAGCUGCAAAGGAAUGUCUAGCAAGAGUAUGUUUAAACGAUGGACUAGGUGUUGGGAGUUGUUGUAUAUGUACUGAGGACUUGUGGGGCUGACUACUUUCCUUAGUUUUCAAAAUUUUCUCUGAUACUCCCUCAAAGAAAAUUCUCUCUUUGUAAAAUAUGAGUGCUACUCUGUGUGCUACUACAAGCUAUCAAUAAAAUCUUUCAAUCAAGAUUUUCAGUAAGUUUGUUUUAUUGCAUUGAUUAAAUUUAUUGCAUGCAUUUAUUUGAAUUUAAUUUCUUGAUUUCCAAUAUUUUCAUUCUCUCUGGCCUUUGACACCCUCCUGGUAUCAGAGCCGUAAGCAUUGAAGAGUCAUUCUAAAUUUGCUUCUCAUUCAGCCCAAGUGGCUGGUAGCUUUCCCUCUGAGUUAGAAGUUCAUCGGUAAGUUCAUACUGUUAUUUCAACGUUUGCUUGUUUGUCUGUCACUCUCUUCCAACCCAAACAAUAAGUCCUAGAUUCCAAACAAUAAGAUCCAUGUGAGGCAUGCGCGGAGAGAAAGAGAGUCUACAGGUUUAGGUCUACAAUAGAAUUUCAGGUUUUCUUCACCUAGAAGUGAAGAACCCGUAAGCUUCCUUAGAUGAGUCGUCUUUUUAGAACAAAGUCUUGUAACAGUAGCAGUUCUAGAGCCAGUAUUAGUAAACUCCCAGAAAUAGUAAAUGAAGAACAAAUUGAAUACGAAACUAGUAAUGAAAUUGAUUGGAACAUCCCCAGAGUUCCUAGUACAAAGAUUUACAAGAAAAAAUGGUCACUUUCAAGUUUCAAAAGUACAACCCAUGUGAAAACAGUCGAACAAGUCUAUGCCUUGAGUAAAGAACACGAAACAUGUCAAUUACUAAACCUUGAGUCAAUAAAGAAACAUAAGAAUGAUGGAAACAAUUUCCUCUAUAUUGGCCUCGUUCAAGUUGCAGUAAAACCCCUUACCAGGCUAGGACUAAAUGCUUCUAUUUUACUUUGCCUACGUGACGCCAGAUUUACCAACUUUAGUGAUAGUACCCUAGGAAUAAUAGAGUCAAGCUUAUUUAAUGGUCCAGUUCACUUUGACUGUUACACAGACUUCACAGUAAGCCUUAGUGAUCCCCACAUAUUAAAAAUUCUAACAUUAAACAUUAAAACUUCAGGGUGUAAAGUCUUACCAAGUACCCAACCUCUAGCUUUAGUCUAUAGAAUUUAUUAUAAAGUCAUAGGAACUAAUAUGAAUUUCCAAGCUCUAAACACUACUACAAAAAGUGAAAAAGACGACCAGAAAACAACGACGGUCUAAGUGAAAACCGUCGUGGUUUAUAAAAAGACGACGGUUCUAAAAACACCGUCGUGUAAUACAACCUUAGACAACUAAAAAAUGGAGAUUCAAAUGGCUGUUCAAAAACAACGACGUACAUAAUUAAACAACCGACGUCUAUUUGAAACAGAUUUCCGCAGUGUAAAAUCAAUGCCAACAAAGAACGGCAGAAGUUAUGAAUCGACCGACGUAGAAAGUAAAGACGACGAUUUCAAUAAAAACUGCCGUUUUUACUCAUAAAAUAACACGACGAGGUUUUCGUAUAAGACGCCGUAUAAUUACAAACAAAUCCACGGCUUUAAAAUACAAAAUAUCGCCGUAUUAAAUUAAUUUACAACGACGGAAAAUAUAAAUAUAUCGACGUCAUUAUCGUAUAGUUCUACGACGUUAUCUUUAAAUUGUACAAUAAAAUUUAACGUCGUAUUUAUUCAUUUUAUACGUCGUACCUUUAAUUUUAACGGUCGUCUUAAUAAGAAUUUUUGUUAACAAUUUUUUUCUUUGAUUUUCUUAUCCUACGUCGGUAGAUCUACUUAAUGACAAGAAUUGAAAUAACCACGACGGUUUAUAUAGAACACCGCCGACAUAAUCAGAUUUGUCUGAGAUCCCAAGGGUUACGAAAUCUUACCAGAUGGAACUCUGUUCCACAUCAUAAUCUUAACAGAUGACACAGAUUUGCAAAUAUUGCGUCGUGUUAGUUUACAAAUUCUAGAACAUUAAUUUCCCUCAUUUUAAAUUUCCUCGGGAAAGAAAAAUCUAUUUAUCACGCUUUGUAAUUGAAAACUAAAACUGAAAGAAUACGGGAAAAAAAACUCUAUUUAUAAUUUAAAAAUAAAAUCCACGUCGGUUGUAGUACACUUAACGACGUUUAACAAAAUAAUCUACGUCGGUAAUUAUAAAUCUACCGCCAUCUUACCUUAAUAUAGACGACGAGAAAAGACGACGGUAGAACAGAAAACCGCCGUUGUUUCAGUUUCUUUAACAGUUUGGUCCUUUAUCUUUCUGCAGGACUUGUAUAGUUCAAAGCAUUGACAAUGUCUUCAUCAUAUCUCCCAGCAACUACUGAUUCAAUUGCUCAUGCUUUAGAGGCCAUCUGAAGCCAUUUCUAUUCUUUAUCGCAUUCUUGAAACCCAUCUUCUUCUUCUGAAGCUCUACGGAUAAAGGAAGAGGCUAUCACAAAUCCGACGGAUCUUCUUAGGCAAGAAAAUCAAGCAGAGGAUCAGGCACAUCUGAUCUUCAGAUUUUCCUGAGAAGCGAACUUUCCUUCGACAGCGAGUGGAGGCCAGGCUUGCAUCUCUUUUGAUGGAAAGCAAGGAGUAUUCAGAAGCACUAAGUGUCCUAUCAGGCUUGAUCAAGGAAGUGAGAAGGCUAGUUGACAAGCUUCUUCUUGUGGACAUAUAUUUGAUGCGAGUAAGCUCAAUUUCUCUUUGAGAAAGACAUCCAAAUUAUUGUCUUUGAGACGUGAGAGACUGAGAGAGGAAGAACUUAGAACCCUAUAUGUAAACCAAAAAUGAAUGAAAGCGACAAAUUUAUAGAAUAAAUUUUUAAAACCAACAGCGGUCCUUACAAAAAAAACCGCCGUUUAAAUUUAAAAUCAACGUCGGUAUUAUCGACGUAUAUUACAGAAAUCCACGUCGGUAAAUUAAUAAAAACGACGUGUUAAAUAAUCUACCAUGACGCGAGUUAUUACUUAUGUACUUUAAUUUUUGAGUUUACUACGACGGUACCUACAACACUACUGUCGUAUUUAUUUACCACGUCCGAAGUUAAAUGUACCGUCGUAUUUUGUAAUUUAUACGUCGUAGUUAUAUGUAACCGCCGUAUUAUUUUUUUGAAAUGGUUUUAUAUGUAAGCAACUUUUCGUCUACCUGACAUACACAUGCGCUGUUUCCAAACCCGAUUAAAAAGUUCAAUCUCCCAGAGAAAACUUUUAGACUUUUUUCCUUGUCAGAGCACUGUCAGAGUAUCUCAUCGUCUUCCUCUCGUCUUCUUCGUCGUCUCUGAACUUAAACAUAAUCUUCCUCUUGCUUUCAUUGCACGCAAAAGGUAAGCUUUCAUUUUCACUAUUUUGGUUGCUGUUUUGCAUGCUCAUACGUUUUUUGUUUGAAAAAUCUUUUUACCUUUUUUCUGGCCAAAAUCAUUUUACUUCUUUCCAAGUUCGAUAAAAUAUACAGACAAAGAGGGAAAGUUUCCAACUUUGAAGACAACUACCUCAACUAAAUAAGACGACGGUAGCUUCUUAUUUACGUGGUUAAAUAUGUAGACCACGACGGUUCGUCAGUCGUUCUAGCGUCGUCUGAAAAUUGACAAAGUUGUUUUUAAAAUUAUAGUCUUUUUUUUAUUUGCUUGUUUAAUUGCAGGUUUGAUUUCUCUGAACAAUGGUUUUUGUUUUUCCCUAAUUUGAUAAAAUAUAAAGAAAAAGAAAGUAGGGUUGGUAUCUAAUAUAGACGACAGUAUCUUAUUGUUUUACGUCGUGUGAAUGUUAAUACCACGACGUCAUAUUAAAAUACCGUCGUCUAUAUAAGAUUCCAAAACUUUCUUUCUUGGCCUUGUAUUUUAUCAAAUUAGAAAACAAAAACCAUGGUUCAGAAAAAUCAAAUCUGCAAUCAAACAUUCACAGAGAAAGAAAGAAGGGUUUUGGAUCCUUAUAUAGACGACGGUAUAUUACGACUGACGUCGUGUGAACAUCAAUACCACGACGUUAUAUAAAUAUUUCGUCGUGUAUAGUUAAUUAUCACGUCGUUUAUAGUUAAUUAUUUCGUCGUUGUUUAAUUACCUUGGUUUUAAACAUUUAUUACGUCUGAGAUUAUUUCAUUGCGUCGUUUAAAAUCAUAUCAUACGUCGUAUUUUAUUAAUAACUGUCGUUUGUGUUCUUAAUCUUUUCCUGAAAUAUUUUCACUUGCAGUUUUGUCUGUAAAAAUGGUUUCUCACCAAGACCAAAGUAAGGAUUUUGGCUCCAAGAAAAAUGGAGGUAAGGACCUUGGAAUGGUACCUCCUCAAGUGAAGCCUUCGAAGAAGAUGAAGUUUGCUUCAUCAUCUGCUGAGACAGAACGAACCAGCACGACAACAAUCUCUGAUGAUUCAAAGUCUGGUCGAGGUAUGAGCACAAUGCCUCGUGUUGUGAAGAGAAAACUUCAGAAACUGAGGCCAAUUGUUGAGUACAAUAAAAGGGGGAAAGGAAUUGGCCAAGCACAUAGUGAGAUGCAGUCCUACAUUGGUGUGUUGGCACGCUCCAGAGUUCCACUUGUGGACAUGAAAUGGGCUCAAAUCCCCAAGGAUAUAAAGGAGCAGAUUUAGGAAGCAGUUGACCUUGCUUUUGUGGUAGGUCAAGGGGGCAAGAGCUCUGUGUUAGCUUCUGCUGCCAAGAAAUGGAAGGAUUUCAAGUCUACACUAAUGAGGCAAUAUAUCCUUCCAUACACCAAUGACAGGGAGAGAUUAAGCCAACCCCCUGAAACAUAUAAAUUCAUAGAGAAAGCACAAUGGGAUGCCUUUGUAGCUUCAAGGUUAUCCAAAGAUUUUGAGUCUGUGCAUUCUCAACAUGCACAGAUUAGGGAGAAACUCGAGUACAAUCAUCGAUUGUCUCGAAAAGGAUAUGCUGGUUUGGAGGAUCAAUUGGAGGAAACCAUGCCUGGGGUAGAAAUUGAUCGAUCUACCUUAUGGAAGAGAGCUAGACAGGACAAACAUGGUAACAUCCCUGAUCCAAAGGUGGCAGAGAAAGCAAAAUUAAUUGUAAGCCUACUCACUCUGUUUUAAAUUUUUAUUAAACUGUGAAUAAUUCUUAUUACGUCUUAUGUUAUAUUUUGCGUCGUGUGAAUGAUAUUACCACGUCGACAUAUUUUAAAAAACGUCGUUAAAGGUCUAAAUCAGGAAUCACAACUCUGUUUUCUGUAAUUAUAGCAUAAGAUGUCGGUAGUUCAUUUUUGCGUCGUCUGUAGUAAAUUACUACGUCGAAAUGUUUUAAACAACGUCGUUAAAGGUGUGAAUAUUGAAUCAUCCCUCUGUUAUCUGUAAAUAUAGCAUAAGACGUCGGUGGUUUAUUAAUUUCGUCGUUUUAAAAAGAUAACCACGUCGGUAUAACCACCGUCGUGAUAAAUUAUAAUAACGUCGAUUUAUAUGUUAUUGCGUCGUGUGAAAUUAUAUAAUACGUCGUUUGUAUAUAAAUAACCGUCGUGUGUUUUUGUUCUUACUUUUUUAUAUAUCUUUGUUUUAGGAUGAAUUGCAAAAAUAAGUCUCGGAAGGCAAAGUCACUGUUUCUGGCAGCAAUGAUGUGCUGACCAUGGCUUUGGGCCCCGAGCAUCCAGGCAGAGUCAGAGGAGUAGGUGCUGGGAUCUCACCAAGGCAAUAUUUCAAUUUACCCAAACCACAGAGAGUGAGCUUUGACGACCGUUUGAAGGACAGUUUAAGAGUUCUCCUUCAAGAAGAGACUAAAAAGAUGGAGGCUAAGGCAAGGGAAGAGGCUUUAAGGAUGGAGGCUAGAACGAAACAAUUGGUAGAGGCUGAGAGGGAGCAUUUCCUGAGUCAGCUUUCCCAAUUAAUUCCCAAUUUUGAUCCAAGCAUGCUUAAACCCAGAAUUAGCCAAAGUCCCAAAAAUCCAAUGUCUGACAAAGCAAGCUGCUCUGGAGGUGAUGUGAGAUCCCAGCAUUUUGAGGAUGAUACUACCAAAAAUGGGAAACAUCAGGAAGGAAAGGUAACAUAUCUGAACUUUGAAUUCUCUGUUUUUUUAAAAACCAUUAGACGUCGUUAUUAUUAAUAAAACCGUCGUUUGAAAUACAUACCACGACGAUUUUAAACAUAAACCGUCGUUUGUAUUUCAAUACCACGUCGUAUUUAGUUUACUUGUUUUACAUGCCAUUAAACGUCGUUAUUUUAAAACUUUGUGGUUUUUAGACGACGGAGUUAGUCAUUCCCAACGUAAUAGAUGAAGGGAAGACAGAAGAAAAACAUGAUGAAAAGGAGAAAGAAGAUGACGACCAGGUAUGUUCACAUAACUUUGCCUUUUUUAUUUGUUUUUCAAAAUUCCAGACGUCGAUAUUUUUCUUUGAACCGUCGUUUGUUUACAACUUAGACGGCGGAAUUUUGUUUAAGACGUAAUAAAUUAUUCACCAUGACGGUUUCUUCAGACGACGUUUAAAUUGUUUUCAGACGACGUUUUAUUCCUUAAACCGUCGUUUUUAUUGAAUUACCACGUCAUUUUUUUUAUUUCUUUAAACAGGUUAUUAAAGUUGUUGAUUAUUCAAAUAUGGAGGCGCCAUCUUCUUUAAACUCCCUUUGUCGUUAUGUGGAAACGACACUCGUGCCUCAGGAUAAGACCCUGCACUUUACAAUUGAUAAGGAGGUGUUUGGUCUAGAGCGCGAUACCUUCCUCCUGCCUGAAGAUAUUACACAAUUUGCAGGCAUGGAAGAAAUAGGAGCCACUGUCAUUGCUGUAUAUAUGAGGUUUGUCAUUCUAAAAUAAUACGUCGUUGGUGUAUUUAUUGCGUCGUCUUAACCAACUAACCACGUCGUUAGUAUAUCAUAACGUCGUUGUCUAUUUCAGUACGUCGUGUGAAAUUUUAUAAUACGUCGUUUUGUUAUACAUAACCGUCGUGUUUUUUUGUAUAUAUGAGGUUUGUCAUUCUAAAAUAAUACGUCGUUGGUUUAUUUAUUGCGUCGUCUUAACUAACUAACCACGUCGUUAGUAUUUACCGUUGUGAUAAAUAUAUUAUAACGUCGUUGUCUAUUUCAGUACGUCGUGUGAAAUUUCAGAAGACUGACGGUGAACAGAUUUUCCUGAUGCCUUACAAUCCAGGGUUAGUCUCCUUAACAGGAUUUUGUUUUUAUGAUUUUCAAUAAAUUACAGCGUAUAAACUAACCACGUCGGUAUUUUAUUUUAUUGAGUCGUUUGAAACUACUAACCACGUCGGUAGUUAUUUAUCGUCGUGAUAAAUGUAAAAUGUCGUCGACUGCUACUUUAUUUCGUCGUGUGAAAUAUUAUAAUACGUCGUUAUUGUAAAUAACCGUCGUUUUUAUAUUAAUUUUGUGCAGCCGUCAUUGGAUCUUGCUGAUUGUAAGAGCUAAGAGAGAAACCGUCUAUUUUCUGGAUCCUCUGCCAGGAAAUCGUGUGGUCGAUGAAGAGGCCAAAAACAUUGUGAACAGUGCUAUAAAAAUGUAUAAUUCUCACAUAGCCAGACCAGGCCGUAAGGCAGUCAUUUGGAAAACUCUGUCAGGCACACCAAAGCAACCCAGCAAUGUCGAAUGCGGGUAUUAUGUGAUGCGCUUCAUGAGGGACAUCAUCAUGGAUUCUUCCUUGGGGUUUGAGAAGAAGGUAAGAAGAAAUUACCUUCAUACAUUUUACGUCGUCUUUUGUAUUAUCAACGACGGCCAUGUAAAAUUACCGUCGUUGAAUAGAUAUAGUACGUCGGUUAUGAAAAAUAUCGUCGUCUAUGAUUGAAUUUCUUUUUAUUUAUAAACCCUAAUAGUCAUUGUUUAUGCAGUAUGCCAAGGGAAAACAGGAAGCGCCAUACCCCCAAGAAGCAAUUGAUGAAGUCCGGAAUGAAUGGUCAGAGUUUGUUUGCCUUCACCUGGAAUAGGGGAAUUAUUGAACACUUGAUAUUUAUGUAUAAUGUACAAAUUUUGUCUAUAAUAUAUAAUGUAAAAAUUUGUUGAGGUUUUCUUAAAUUAAAAAAAAAAAACAAACAUACAAAUUGCGUAACCGACGUGUAAUACUUUUCCAACGACGUAAUAAAGUCGAAAGCCGUCGUUUUUUGUUGUUUCGUUUUAACCAAAUCCGACGUAAAAGGAUAUUUAGACGACGUUCUUUGAACAAUUGAGUCGUUUAUGGUUUACAACGUCUUCAAUUCUUAAGGGUUCAGGGUAGUACUUUGUAACGACAGCGGUUAAGUCGUGGAAUAUAUAUUUUAUGUCGGAUAGUUAAAUAUCCGCCAUGGUUUCUCAUUUAAACGACGUCAUUUUAGCAACUUAGUCGUCUAUUAUAAUUUACAACGUCUAAAAUUUAUUAACACCGACGUGGUUUGUUGUUGUGAUAAGAAUAUUUUAUUAUUUUUAUAUCAAAAUAUUCAAAAUAAAUCUAAAAUAAAUCAGAAAAAUGCAAAGUCAACUCCUAUGAAGUCAUUGAUAUAUUUUCUUCCCCCUAAACCUUGAAAAAAUUCAUUUUGAAUAACAAAAAUUUAAAAUGACCAUCCAAAACAAAAUUGUUUUGAUGAGUCAUAAAAUCACUUCUAGUUUUAUGGUUUAGGGUUUAGAGUCUAGGGUUUAGAGAUUAGGGUUGUUAUUUAUUGGGGUUUAUUUUUAAAGUAUAAUUUUUGGGUAGUAUAGGGUAUAUAUUAGGCUGUAAAACCAUAAACCCUUUUAUAAACUUAAUUUUUAAAAUUAUAUAAUUUAGUUUUAAGGGUUUAGGGUAUUAAUUGUUAACGACGGUGGUUGAGUCGUGGAAUACAUAUGUUACGUCGUGCAGUAAAAUAUCCGACAUGGUUUCCACUUUAAACGACGUCAUUUUAAUAUGUAAAUCGUCUAUUAUAAUUUACAACGUUUUCAAUUUCUUAACUUCGACGUGGUUUUUCUGUCGUCUUUAUAUCAAAAUAUUCAAAAUAAAUUUAAAAUUAAUCCGAAAAAUGAACGUCAAAAUAAACGGCGUUACGUUCAGUGUUUUCGUCGUGGAAUAUUACAUUUACGUCGGUUCUUGUAGAACUUUCGCCAUGGUUUUUCUUUCGACGUUUUAAAGAGCGCGCGCUCUAAAAAUUUUCGCGCGCCCUAAAUUUUUUUAUAUUUGGCUCUUAUUCUUAUACUUCUAACCCUGAACCCUAAAAUUUUCAGAUUUCGCGCAACAUAACAUUCGCUCUCUCACUUCUGCUCUAAUUAAAAGUUGCACUCUCCAGGCUCCGUCGAAUCUGUGAGCUCGUCCAACCUGUAAGUACAAACCCUAUCUUCCCCUUGUAAAUUCAUAGAAUGAUAUUAGGUUGUUUUGUUAAAGGGUUUUAGGUAUAUGCUUUGUGAUCUGUUAAUAAUGUGCUUAUAGGUAUGGGUUCAUGGAUUUUCUCUUUAAUGGGUUCAUGGAUUUUCUGUUUAAUGGGUUCAUGGAUUACAUUAUCUGUUAUGUUGAAUUGGGAAUGGUUUUAAUUUUGUCGGAUCUUUUAAUCACCCUAUGUUAUGUUGAAUUGGGAAUGGAUUUAUUGUUUUCAUGCUUGGUUUCAUGUAUAUGUUGGUUUCUUGCUUGUUUUGUUAAAGGGUUUUAGGUAUAUGCUUUGCGAUCUGUUAAUAAUGUGCUUAUAGGUAUGGGUUCAUGGAUUUUCUGUUUAAUGGGUUCAUGGAUUUUAUGUUUAAUGGGUUCAUGGAUUACAUUAUCUGUUAUGUUGAAUUGGGAAUGGUUUUAAUUUUGUCGGAUCUUUUAAUCACCCUAUGUUAUGUUGAAUUGGGAAUGGAUUUAUUGUUUUCAUGCUUGGUUUCAUGUAUAUGUUGGUUUCUUGCUUGGUUUCAUAUAUAUGUUGUGUUCUUAAUGAGUUUUGGGUUCUUGAAAAUAAACUGAGACACGACGCCUUUUUAGGCAUACGACGACGAUUACACGACGGUUUAUGAAAAAACCGUCGUUGUAUUACUUAUACACGACGGUUUUUUCAUAAACCGUCGUUUGUAUUACUUAUAUUAGAUGACGUCUGUUGAAAAUCCGUCGUCUAUAUAUGCCAAAUACGUCUGUUUUUGUUUAAAACCCGUCGUCUCUGUUGUGUAUUACUUGCUAUUAGAUCUUUGUAUAAUCUGCUAUAGUGAUGGUCAUUGCCUAUAUUUUCACUUUAUUAUAGAUAAUAGGUUAUAGUGUCGAAGAUGGAUAAGUCAUGGAUGCACUCGGAUAGAAGAUCGAAGGCAUAUGAGUUUGGGGUGGAAGCAUUUUUGAACUUUGCUGUAGAAAAUCUUCUAACUACAACACAUAUCCGUUGUCCAUGUGUUAAAUGUGUUAAUUUGAAGUUGUUUGGGGUUGGAAUUAUAAGGGAUCACUUAUACUUUAAUGGAAUUGACCAAAGCUAUAAGAAUUGGACAUUUCACGGAGAACCUUGGGAAGCAACUACUAAUGCUAGUAGAAAUGUUGAAGAAGAUGAUGGCCAUAGUAGGUACAGUUUUGUGUCUGAAGAAAUUGAUAUGGAUGAUAAUGAUUUUGGUGAUUUUGGUUCCGAUCCGUAUGAGUUUGCCAAUGUGAUUGGGGAUGGAGAUCAACCAGUGUACCCUGGUUGUAGAAAGUACACGAAGUUAUCGGCAUUAGUGAAGUUGUAUAAUUUGAAGGCAAAACAUGGGAUGAGUGAUGUCUGUUUUACAGAAUUAUUGAUACUUCAAGGCGAUUUGCUUCCAGAAGGAAAUACAAUACCAACCUCUAUGUAUGAGGCUAAAAAGACUUUGUGUGCAUUGGGGCUGAGUUAUGAGAAAAUGCACGCAUGCCCCAAUGAUUGCAUCUUGUAUAGGAAGGAGUAUGAGGAUUCAACUAAUUGUCCUACUUGUGGUAUCUCAAGGUGGAAGGAAGGCAAAGAUUCAAUCUUGAAAGAGGGUGUGCCAGCGAAGGUGGUGUGGUAUUUUCCUCCAAUUCCAAGGUUUAAAAGGAUGUUUCAAUCACAUGAGACAGCUAAGAGUUUGACUUGGCAUGCUGCUAGAAAAUCAAUUGACGGUCAGAUGUCUCAUCCGGCGGAUUCCCCGUCUUGGAAACUUCUUGAUGAUAAAUGGCCUGAGUUUGGUAAUGAGCCGAGAAACUUGAGAUUGGCUCUUUCAUCUGAUGGAUUCAAUCCCCACAGUUCUCUAAGUAGCAGAUAUAGUUGUUGGCCGGUUAUCUUAGUUACAUAUAAUCUCCCUCCAUGGCUGUGCAUGAAACGAAAGUUCAUGAUGUUAACCUUAUUGAUUUCCGGUCCUAAACAACCCGGAAAUGAUAUAGACGUCUACUUGGAGCCUUUGAUUGAUGAUUUAAAAUCUUUGUGGGAUGGGAUUAGAGGAGUGUAUGAUGCACAUAAUGGAGAAUACUUUACACUCAGAGCUGCAUUAAUGUGGACAAUUAAUGAUUUCCCCGCCUAUGAAAACUUAUCUGGUUGUGUUGUUAAAGGAUAUAAAGCUUGUCCAAUAUGCGGCAAUGAUACACCUAGUCACAGGUUGAAAAAUGGCCACACAAUUUGUUACAUUGGGCAUAGAAAAUGGUUACCAAUCAAUCAUCCAUAUAGGAGGCAACGUGCAGCUUUUAAUGGGAAACCUGAAUAUGGCAUACCUCUCGAGCCAUUAACCGGAGAAGAAGUGCUGCAUAUGGUUGAAAAUGGUGACAGAGUUUGUUGGAAGAAGAAAUCAAUAUUCUUUGAUCUCGAGUAUUGGAAAUACCUUCCUGUGAGGCAUGCCCUAGAUGUUAUGCACAUUGAGAAGAAUGUUUGCGAUAGUUUUAUUGGUACAUUGCUGGAGAUCCCUGGAAAAAAUAAAGAUGGGAUUGCUGCUCGAUUAGAUUUAUUGAACAUGGGGGUCAAAACUGAUUUGCAACCCGAGUAUGGAGAAAGACGUACUCGUUUGCCUCCUCGCGUUGGAAUUUGUCAAGAGCAGAGAAGAGAGAGGUUUGCAAUUCUUUCUAUGGUAUGAAGGUCCCUGAAGGUUGUUCUUCAAAUAUUAAAAAUCUUGUAUCUUUACAAGAUUCAAGACUUCUUGGCCUUAAAUCACAUGAUUGUCAUACCUUAAUGCAACAAUUGCUCCCUGUGGCAAUUCGUUCUGUUUUGGAGAAGCCUGCAAGGUAUGCAAUAACUCGUUUGUGCUUCUUCUUCAAUGCUAUAUGUGCAAAGACUGUUGAUGUUUCCAAGCUAGAUAAGUUGGAAGAAGAUGUAGUAGUUACUCUGUGUUUGCUUGAGAAGUACUUUCCCCCUUCAUUCUUUGAUAUCAUGGUUCAUCUAGUAGUACAUCUUGUCAGAGAAGUUCGUCUAUGUGGGCCAGUAUAUUUUAGGUGGAUGUAUCCGUUUGAAAGAUAUAUGAAAGUGCUGAAGGGGUAUGUUCAGAAUCGUACUCGUCCCGAAGGUUGCAUUGCUGAGCGGUAUAUAGCUGAAGAAGCGGUAGAGUUUUGUACUCAGCAUUUAUCUGAUGUUAGUACAGUUGGAGUGCCUUCAAGCCAAAAGAUGGGACUUUCAAAGCCAUUAUCAGGUUGCACAGUGAGCGUAGUUGAUCAGGACCUGUUGAAUCAAGCACAUCUAUAUGUCUUGGAGAAUACGGAGGAAGUCCUACCUUAUAUCGAGUACGUAUGAGUUUUAUUCUUUAAGUUUCCAUUUUAAAUUAUUUCUUAUGUUUAUCUUCUAUAUUUGGGACCGUAAUGCUUGAAUUUUUCGUGUCAUGUAGGCAACAUAUGAUCCACAUCAAGACUGCUUAUCCAAAAUUUAGAAAGAGAACAAAGUGGCUGCAGGAUAAGCACAAUAGUACUUUCAUUCAAUGGCUACGCUUCAAGGUAUAUGUUGUUGAAUAACAUAUUUCUCUUUUAAUUUUCUUCUUAUUUCUAUGUUAGAUUGAAUUAAGAUAUAUGAUUAAUUUGCAGGUUCAAAGUGAACUUGAGGAAGACAAUCAUGGCGUAUCAGAAAAUUUAAGGUGGCUAGCAGCUGGUCCAAACAUGGCAGUGCCAUUAUAUAGGAGCUAUCUUAUUAAAGGUAUUAAAUUCAAUAUCAAGGCACAAGAUGAUGUGCGGACAACUCAAAAUAGUGGAGUUUAUUUACUUGCACAUACCAUGCAAGUUGCUAGUGCCAAGGAUAAAAACCCAAUUCUCUCAAAUAUGGGUUUCUAUGGUGUCAUUCAAGAAAUUUGGGACCUUGACUACCAAAAGUUUACAAUCCCAGUCUUUAGGUUUGAUUGGAUAGAUAGUUCUGGUCUUGUAGUCGACGAACUUGGAUUUACCCUUGUAGAUUUGAGUAAAAUUGGACAUAGGAAUGACCAAUUUGUUUUGGCUUCUCAAGUCAAACAAAUAUUUUUUGUUGACGACCCGAUGCAUCGUGGUUGGUCGGUAGUGUUAUCAAUGCCUAAUAGAGAAUAUAAUGAUGUUAUUGGUGAUGAAGUCUUAGGUGAUGUGAUAAUUGAGUGUGAGCCAUUUACUAGAGGGAUGCCAAAUGUUGACACAUUUGAUGAACUGGUGGGUGAGUUAGGCGGUCAAAAUAUUCGAGAUGGGUGUGAAGAUAUAUGGAUUGAAUGAUGCUUAUGUAAUUGGCAGUGUAUGACAUUAAUUUUGUAAUAUAUUGUAAUGUGAUUUCUUCACUUUCUACAUUCAAAUAAAACACGACGUUAUUGUGAACCAGUUAUUCAGCAUAUUUACCGACGUCUUAAAGCAACGUAACAAUGAAGAACCACGACGCUAUUGUGAAGCAAUUAUUCAGGAUAUCACGUCGGGGAAGGAUUAAGAACCGCCAUGUAAUUCAAAAUAACACGACUCCAAUCUCAUAAUACCGACGUCUAAAAAACGAGAUAUAUAAUCUGAACGUUAAAAAAUACGACGUCAUCAUACAUUUUUCACGUCGCAAGUUCUUUUAUAAACGAAGAGGAACGAAAUGAAUUCCGACGGUAAUUCAUUAUAACCGCCGUCUAAUAUCAAUUAAACGACGUUAUUUGUAAUACGGCUCUCUCAUCGCAUUUCAACGUCAACUAUAUAAAUACAUACGUCGUAAAUAAUGACACUGACAACUAUUUCCACGUCAUCUUUUUUAGAAAAAUCGAAGUGGAAAAUUUAUUUCACGACGGUUGUUUGUAAAUAAGAGACGUAGUAUAUUUCAAUAACGUCGUCUUCUCAUGUAUUUAAAGACGUCAUAUUUUUUCUUGUCGUGAAAAUUAUAUUUGACGGCGUAGUGUUUUAGUUGUCGUCGUUGUAUGUCUAUUUUGCGGCCUUCUUCUUUUAAUAUGUGUCAUAUUUUUCCUUUUUAACGACGGUGAUUUGUUUGAGUUGGUCGUCUAUUCUCAUCCUCGACUAUUUUUUAGAACUUUAGCAGACUAAACACGUCUGUUUUUAUUUGUUUUCGACGUUGUUUUAUUUAACAACGUCUAAUAUUUAUCGUCGUUGUUUGUUUCAGAAAAUAGGACUUAUAAAUUUUGUAAUACGACUCUCAUAUAUUUGUAACUGACGUUGUUUCGUUGUUCAACGUCUACUCUAUAAAUACAUACGUCGUAAAUAAUGACACUGACAACUAUUUCCACGUCAUCUUUUAUAGAAAAAUCGAAGUGGAAAAUAUAUUUUACGACGGUUAUUUUUAUAUAGGCGACGUAGUAGGUAUCAAUAACGUCGUCUUCUAAUGUAUUUAAAGACGACAUAUUUUUUAUUGUCGUGAAAAUGAUAUUUAACGGCGUCUUAUUUUAAUUUUCGUCGUUGUAUGUGCCAUGUUCUGUUAAUAUGUGUCAUAUUUUUCCUUUUUAACGACGGUUUGUUUAGAGAGUUGGUCGUCUAUUCUCAUCCUCGACUGCUUUUUUAGAUCUUUUUGCAGUACACAGACGUCGUUUUGUAUUUGUUGAUGACGUUGUAUAUUGUAACAACGACGGUGAUUUAGCGUCGUGGUUUAUGAGGGAAAAGAUGACGGUGGAUUCCACGACCAUUGAAAAACCGAAUACACGACGGUGAUUUACCGUCGUCUUUUUGCUUUUUUGUAGUAGUGAAAUAAAAGUCCAAAAGACCAAACCUUUCUUAUCCAAAGCAAUAAAGCCGAUGCUAACAUAAGAGUCGCCCAUGCACUUAAGUGGUCAGAAGUAACUCUACCCCUAGAUUGGACACUAGCAACAGAAAAUCAACCUGCUCCUAUUCAGCAUAAUUUAAGCAAUCUAGAUUAUAUUCAACAAUAUUUAGAUGGUAUAAUAAGGUAUUGACUAGGUGUACCUAUGAAAUGAUUUUAAAGAUUGGAAUAUCCCCAGAGUAUUCCAAUAAUUGAACAUGACCUAUGAAAUGAUUAUAGGGUUUAAGUAGACCUAGCAAACAGGUCAUGUUUGUAAUGUAGUGUUUGUGCCAUUAACGGGUUGACACUACACAACCCGUUAAGUUAAUGGAUGAAAAGUACCAGAUAUGAUCAAGACCUAUUACAAUUCGCGAAUAACACGAAAUGACCCUUUUGUUUGUUAAGAAUAAAAUAAAUAUAUAUAUGUAUUCCCCUUUUGUUGAGGGAUCUCUCAAAUAAUGUUAUUGAAGGACACCCUUUAGGGUUCCCUACGAUUCUUUUUUUUUUUCAACGAUCUAAACCAUCUAUUUAUUAAGUCUACAUUCAUAGAUCAUCCUUGUAAAAAAUUAGACAAAUCAAAAAUUAUUUUGAUAAUAAAUUGUAUCCUACAAAAUCAAUGAACACCAUACUUCAAGAAGGUACUAUAUAUACAGGGAGCUUCAAUUGAGUGAUCCCUCAAAUAGGCUUAUUUAAGGGACACCCUUGUAGGGCCCACUCGGUAUUGUAUUUUACUAAUCUAAACUGUUAUUUUGUAGAUACUCAUUCAAAAAUCAUUUCUACAAAUAAUCACUUGAAUUUGAUAUCAUUUGACUACUCAAUUGAACUAUUGAAAAAUUAGACAAAUCGGAAACCGUUUCAAUAUCUAAUUGUGUUCUACAAAAUUAAUGAAGAGGGGUUUUGAGUUGCAAUGAUGGACUCGCAGUGGAUGAAGCAGAUGUGGCCAAAAAAUAAUUCUUUCAAAGUGUGGUGACAACUGUUGAUAACUGAUUGGUUGGGGAUACUUAGUUGGAAUCCUUACCCCGGCAUCAUCAUGCCCGAGAAGUUUUUCUCCUUAUAUGUGGCCUUUAGGUGAGGUCAUAUUUCCUAACCGUUGGAUUAGGCUAACCAAUUUAAUCCAAUGAUUAAGAGAUAGAGCCCCACCUAAAGGCCAUACAGAAUGCCCUCACUAUAGAAUUCUUGUUGAUUUCAUAGCAAUUGGGCUUUUAGAUUUAAAAUUUAUAUUUUCAAGUGUUUAAUUUUUUAGUUUGAUUUCAUUUUUUUUUCCUCUUUUUCAUUUAUAAGGGUUUGGUAGGGUGUUUGGUUGAUGAGAAAUUGUAGGAAAUCAGACCACAUGUAUGCAUACGCAGCCCUUGCCUUUUUAUUUUGCAAGUAAAAUUAUUUGGGAUUGUCUGUCUGUGAGGAAACGAAGAACAAACUAUUGGGUUGGGGGGGGGGGGGGGGGGGGGGGGGGGGGGGGGCUUGUGGGGCGAAAAAGAGAAAAAAAAAAAAAAAAAAAAGGGUUUUCUUGUUUGGUCUUUUUUUUUUAGGCCAAAAAAAAACAAAACUUAUAGAUGUUUCGUUCCCUUUCCCCCUACCCGGGCCAAAGGGCCCCCAUUUUUCCCCCCCCCCCCCCCAAAACAACCAUAAAACAUUUUUUUUCUUCCGAGAACCCCUUGGGGGCUGCCCACCACUGCGCGACACUUCUCGCACCCCAAAACACCCCUGGGGCUUUUCCCAAAAAAAAAAANNNNNNNNNNNNNNNNNNNNNNNNNNNNNNNNNNNNNNNNNNNNNNNNNNNNNNNNNNNNNNNNNNNNNNNNNNNNNNNNNNNNNNNNNNNNNNNNNNNNAAGUCAACUGAUACUAUUUUUUCUACGAAUCGUAUGUGUAGCAAAUCAUGGACAAUACUAUCAGAACCAAACAGUCCUAGGAUCUUUCAAGAAAAAUAAAACAUGUCCUCAGAUUAGAUUGCAUUUUGCAUUGCAUUUCUGUACGAAGUCAUUGACCUUGACGCAAUAGUUAUGCCGCGCUCACGCUCGAGGCUGAUGGAGUCCAUGGGACGUUCAUGGGAGAUGUUUCCGCAGCAUUGGCGGAGGAGGAGGUCCAUGAGCAUGAUCUUGCCGUGGUCAACUUCAACUAUUACCCCCACAAUAGAGCCGGUUUGGGUUCAACGCGAUGCUCGGUGAAGUAGCAUGAAAGGCCACAAUGGCUGCCGAGAAGGUACAUGCAAGUGCAGAGGCUUGUGGGGUUAGUAGGAAUGAUUUGGGGGCAAUGGAUGGAGAUGACGAAGAGAAAGAGUUGCUAAGUGUGAGUGACCAGGCAAUUAAGGAUAGUCUCUAUGCUAUUGGCCCUUACAAAGCUCAAGACUUGUGCCCAUUGUCCAAGAUUCCUUUGUGGGACUUUCUUUUUCUUCUUCUUGACUUGACUCAACAACCCUCCCAUUUAGGAUAGAACUCUAAGGGUAUCUCUGAAGCGAGUGGAAGACCACAGAGAGUGAAGCAACGACCAUUUCUAAAAACUAAGAGAAAUGGCUGAGUUCUGUAACUUCUUUGGGUUUUACGUUGUUGUUUAUAACCGAUUGGGUUUAAGACGUUUCCCUCUAGGUCGCGACCACCAAAAUAGAGGAAGAAAAAAAGGGUUCAAAAAGUUUGGUUUUUGGGAUCAACUUGAUUUAUAUCGGAGGCGGUUGUCGUACCCGAACAUUCCAAAGCAUCCAUUACCAAACCAAACCGACAUAUAUUUAUACAUAUUUCUUCUCUUUAUAAUGUACACAUGUCAAGCUAUGAUUGGUUAUAGUAAACACGUGGCGAUAUGUUGUUCUUUAAAAUAGACAUUUCUACAUUAUACUAGAAUUGGCUACACUACAUCACAGACCACGGAAAUAUCGGAGUCGCCUCUUCUUUCUUCUCCAUUCGAUCAACUCUCUCUUUCAAAAUCUCAUUUCCUCUCUCUUGCAAAAUUUUGAUUCCCUCUCAUCUCUGUUCUCUCCUCCUCAUCAAUCAUCUUCUCCAUCUCUAUUAUUUGAUUGAAGCACCGUUCUCUUCCACAUAACCACCACCAAUCCCUCCACUCUCCACGAGAUUUCCCUCACCUCUGUCUCCUCUCAUCACUCGGUGGGUAAAUAUCAUUUGCGCCAUUUUUUGUAUGCUUGCAAUUUUAUUAUGUUUAAAUUAGUUUUGGAUAUUGAUUAAGGGUGCUGAUUGGGGUUUCUGCUAGUUUUCUAUGUAAACAAGGAUGGCGUUUGUUGGAAUUUCCAAACUCGCUUAUUGCACGUAUGCUUAAGGGUCACUACUUUCCAAUCUCUAAUUUUCUUGUUGCUUUGAGUGGGUCGCUUCCGUCGUUUACUUGGCAAUCUUUACUGUGAGGGCGGGAUUUGCUUCGGUUGGGUCUUAGGUGGCGUAUUGGCGAUGGCCGUUUGGUUAAUAUCUAUGGUGAUUCUUGGGUGCCUUAUGACAAAGUUUUUACUAUCCAAUUGGUACCUACUCUUCCCUCUACCUCUCGAGUUUGUGACCUUAUCACUGCGAGUGGCCAGUGGGAUGUUGGGAAGAUCUAUGAUGCUUUCUGAUUUCCAGAAGCUGAAGCUAUCCUCUCUAUUCCCCUAAUGGGUGAUACGCUGGAUAGGAGAAUCUGGAAUUUUGCAAAAAAUGGGAAAUAUUAUGUUAAAAGUGGGUACUGGACAGCCCUAGAGUAUAAGCGGCUAGAGGAGUUGUAAGCUGGGAGUGUCGCUGGUCCCUCCUCUCAUUCUUUAAAGAUUUGGAAGCAUUUAUUCUGAUAAGUAGUCCCUUUUUGUAUUCACUGUGGGGGUGUUGUGGAAUGAAAGAAAUGGGGUGCUGUUUGGCUCUCAACCCACCUCCCCUGGAAUUUUGGUUCAACGUGUGAAGGACUAUGAUGAUGAGUUUAACGGUCUUCUGUUGUCAAUCAUAGGAGUUUAUCUUCCCCGGUUCGUGAUGUUAAGUGGAAGCCUCCUACAGAUAGGUGUUUAUAGCUGAAUGUGGAUGGGGCUGCUGACAUGGAGAUAGGAGUUAGGGGAGCUGGUGCAAUCAUCCGUGACUCUCAAGGAAAUUUGAUUGGGCUUCUGGCUAUGCGUGCUCCAAGCACGAUCUCUGUGCUUGCCACAGAGCUGUAUGCUCUUAAGAUCAGAAUCUCUUUUGCGUUAGAUGCGUCUUUGAUGCCUCUGGAGAUUGAGACCGAUUCCCUGCUGGCAGUUUCUAUGGUUAACAAUGAGGAGGAUUGCCUUGUUGCUGAGGGAGGUUUGGUGGAAGCGGUACGUUGCCUUCUUGCCAGCUCUGCGUCUUCUCCUAUUAGACAUAUCCCUCGCCAAGCGAAUAAGGUUGCCCAUCGAAUUGCUCAUUUUAGUCUCCGUGAUCAAAGUCUGUCGUGCUGGAUGGAUGUGGGUUUGUUGUGGCUUAUGGAUGCUGUCUCUGAUGAUAGGCCUGAGUCUAUUGUCAUUGGUUAAGUUUUUCAAGUGUAAGCUGGCAUAUGCGGUACUCUUUUUCCUCUCCUAAAGUUUUCUCCCCUUGGGUUUUCUUUAGGGAGGUUUGAACAAGGCCACUCUUACCUAUGCCGAAAUAUUUUGUCAUGCUGAUUUGAUUAAUGAAGUCUUUUACCCUAAAAAAAAGUCUCUCUCAAUUCUUAGUGCGGUGUUCUUAGCUAUUUGCUCCAAAAAUUGUGCACAUUCAUUGUUUGAAGUGCUCCCUCUCUUGGCCUUUGCCGCCUUUCUCCCAAUAGUUCUUCGCGCACGUGGGAGUAGUGACUCCGUUUCCACUGGGGAGUCUAAUGGCAAAUCGGUUGUUGGCGAAUCAUGGAGCGGAGUCUCAUUCAACACAACCAGCGGACCUGUGGGAAUAAUUUUAAAUCUCGAACAAUCCUUCACAACUUCCCAACAUUCGUGAUGCAAGAAACUUUUUUUGCCUUGCCCCAUGGCACCGAACCAAGCUUGUGCUUGUAUGAUCUAUUAAAAAUAAAUAAUUGGAAGUGCAAGAAAAUAUAAACAAUUUUGAAAUGCAAGAAAAAAAUUGAUUACGCAAGAAAAUAUAGACAACUUGGAUAGAUUUUGACCGCUUCUAAUGUUCUCCCUUGCUUUUGUCAAGGUAUUUCUCCAUUUCCCUAACUCUCUAUUCAGAAUUUUCCAUCUACUAGACAAGGCCAUUUCGGUCCGAAUGGAACCUGAUUUUUGACAAAAUUCUCCUUGAAUUUUGCUCCACAUAUGAGAGAACUUCAUCUCAUUGCCCGCGACAGGGCAAUGAUUAACAUUCACCCAAGAUUGACACAACGUAAUAUCUUCCUGAGUUAUCCACGCGCCUCUGGCUUCGACAGAAGAUGCCAUUUGUUUUUUGAUACAAACGGACAGUAGUAGAAAAAUGUGCGUGGAAAGUAAAAAAUAUUGGAAGGAGAAGAGUUUGUAUGAAGAUUUGGUGUGGAAAGUGAAUAAUGUGAGUGGAAAGUAAAAAAUAUUGAAAGGAGAAGAGUUUGUAUGAAGAUUUGGUGUGGAAAGUGAAUAAUGUGAGUGGAAAGUAAACAAUAUUGAAAGGAGAAGAAAUUGUAUGAAGAUUUGGUGUGGAAAGUGAAUAAAAUUGUUUGGGUAUUUUCAGAAUUUUUUUAGCCAAAAAAACGAGGGCUGUCGGAUUUCUAGAAAAAAAAACUAUCAGAGCGUCUGGGUUGCGCCACGUGGCAUUUUUCCGUUGGGUUAUGUUAGGGAUGACGUCGAGCUGACGUCAUCGAGUGGAAGUCAAAUUUUUUUACCGUUGGCGCGUGAAACUCACCCGCGCGCCAACGGUAAAAAAAAUUUCGAAUUGUGCUCACUAACGUCAGCACCUUCGGGAAGCCCAAGCAAGAUCUGCCCUUGGGCUUGCCAGGGCUGGUGGGACUCAGGGCUUGCCCGGGCUGCUUCGCGUGAGCUGGAGGUUCAAACCCUAGAAAAGGGGCCUCUUGCCCUAGCAAAAUGGGCUGCAGUGGAGGUGGCCUAAUGAUCUCGUGCAUAGGGGUAGUCAUUUGUUGGAUCCCCUGUCAUAAAAUUUAUUUUUCUGAGAAAAGCCCUGAUUUUCCUUCACGUGACUUCUUGUUGCCUCUAUCAUACUAUUUUUUAUGAUGUAUUUUUUUGUUCAUAGUCCACUGCACUGCAUUCCUGUUUAAUGGGUUUUGUUUUUGUUUCUUAGUAGCCUUUGGGUACUCGAUGCUCUAUUAUUUGAUAGUUUAUUCAUUCAGUUCUUUGUUGUUCGUCUAUUAUUUCAUUACUUGUUUUGAUAAUCUACUGCAGUCACUUCUUUCUUCUUCGUCUAUUUCUGUGAUUAUUUGUUCAUAACAAGUAGGUAAAUUACCCCGGAGAAAUUUACAGGUAGAUUAAUUACCCUUACAGAAAUUUAUUGGGUAAUGAUGUGUUUUUAGUUGUAUAAAUAUAAUUGGUCAUCUGCUCAAAUUUGUUUUAUAGCUCGCAUAGUUGUUUUUUUUUUUUUUCCGUCCUUUGUCCCUCUUGCUAACCACAAGGGUCAGCUCUGCUUUGAGGAACGAAGAGGAAUUGUUGGAUCAACACCAAUGCCUCGAUCGAAUGGUGUCUCUUGGCUCGCAUAGAGGACUCCUUCAAUUUCUGAAUAAAAUUGAAAGUUGAAUCAGUUUGCCAAAAGGGGACGGGCCCGAUCAAGGCCUAUCUGCCAACUUCUUCUUAGUACUGACCCCUUUUGUUGCGUAGGCGUACCACUAUUGAGUAAAUAACCAGCCCAAUAGAUCUGGUGUGGAUAUGAAUGAUUAGUGUUGAUGGAGCUUGCGCCUCCUUUCUAGACUUCUUACCAAGCCAUUGUGCUCUAGGGGGAUACUAUCCCGGAUGGAUUCUUUUAUAUGCCUCAAUUAAGAGGACUUCAAUAUUCUCUCAUUCGUGAAUAUCGCCUUGACAAAUGUGAGCGUGCAGCUGAACAGGCAACAGAGCAAGACCAAGUUCGUGGUUAGCAAAAAGCCCUACCUGGGUUUUAUUAACCCACUUCAAUAUUUUCUCGUCUUCAACUGAAUCAAUAGUUAAUUCGAGCCCAUUGGUGUAAUUUUGGGCCCAGCUUAACUUCUUGUCCCUUUCUUUUACUAUUCCUUUUGGGCCCGAAUGCUAAUUUUUCUGGGCUGUUUGAGGGGUAAAAGGGCGAGAAUCCAAUUUUAUGUAUUAGAAUGAUCCAUGAUUCGUUCUUCAGAUAAUUAAGUGAAUUUUAUCUAUAUAGAUUCUUUUGCAACUUAUGUUUACUUUGAACCUUAAACUAAAUAAUAGAAGAUUCUUUAAUUAAUCCAUCAAUUACCCUUGAAUCCGAAUUAUAGAGUAAAGGAAAAGAUAAUGGAGAUUUCUCAAUCCAGUUCAAACAAUUACAUGAAUUGAAACAAGAAGACGUCUUAAAAGAAAAUUCAUACCAUGGACAUGGCAGAGCUACGAGAGAUAAGCGCAUAAGUUGGCAACUGGUUAUCAAAAGAAAAAGUAUGCAGAUUGUUAUCUUGAGAGUUUUUCAAGUGUUUUUUUUUGGGAGACAUUGCGUCUGGUUUUGGAGAGAGAGUCCUCUUCUUCUAAAGUAGACGUUCAUUAUUUAUAGAGGUGGAGGAACUUGUAAUGAUAGAAACUGUGACAAGACUUUUGGUUUGUGGUUCAAGAUCAGCUGCUAGUUUGCUGAUCUUAACCAGUUCAUAUAGGGAAUGAUGGAGGACUUCUAGCAUGAACCGUCGGUUUCCUUUGUGGAACUAUCUUGAUUUGACUUCUUUGUACUUGAAAAUCUGGCUGGCAAUUUCGAUCCUUUAUGGUUUUGGGGGCUUUAGUACAACUGGUUUUCUUGCUGGAGGAGAAGAAGGUCAAGUUGUCAUUAAAUGUGAUAAUCUCCUCCCAAGUGGGUUCAGAAAACACGCUUACCGAUCCUUUACUUUUAGCGCGAGAUAAAGGUCUGACUCCCAUGACUUAAGCCUUUUAAAUUAUUAUGAGAGGCCCAGUUGGGAAAAAGAUGACCUUAAGAAAAGACAAAUGCUGGUGGGCCUGGCUCUAUCUUUAAAAAAUUCUUUUUAAAACCUGAGACCAUUUUUGGCCCGUUUACCUAAAUUGGGUACAAACAGAAUCUAAAUAUAUUGAUAUAUAGAUAUGUAUGGCAAAUUAUUUCCAUGAGUGCUGGAUUGAUAUUAGGAUAAAAUAUGUUAUGUUAUUAGCCAACACAAAAUCAUGUGCACCAGUAGGUGUAAAACUUAACCAUGAAAGAAACAUCAAUCGGGUUUCCUAAAUUUGAUGAUGUAACAAAACCAAAACCAGGUGAAAUAAAAUUACCAAAUGACCAGCAUAUAAAAUAAUUCAUUUUUUUUUUGGGAAAUGUAUUUGAUUAAAUUUAAUGGGAUUCAUUUUAGUAAACAUACCCAGCAAAAUGUUGUCAUCGUGUGCGAUUUAGUCUCCACUACUGGAUUAUUGCUUAUCUCAGUUUGUAAAAUCACUGUAAAUGAAUCAAGCGUUAAUUUUAGUUUAUUACCUUGUGGUUACACCCUUAAUACAUGUUAGUCCCCAUCUUUUUAAUUUUUACAAUCACAUACCUCGAUCUUUUAAAUUUGUUACAAUGUAGUUUUGCCGUUAGGGUUUCUGUCAGAUAUCUCUAUUAGUUGCCUACAUAGCAUUGUGGGUCCCACAUUUUUCACAUUUUUUUAAUUUUAAAUUAAUUUAAAUAUGAAUAAAAUAUUAAAAACCAAAAAAAGAAAAAAAGAAAAAAAAUUCUCUCUCUCUCUCUCUCUUCUCCCGAUCAAGCUCCAACACCCAACCUUCAAACUCGUACCACAGUCACACUCCACCGCAGCGCAACUACCCAGCGCCCCCUUCCCCAUGACCACUGCCUUCCAACCCCCAACGAACCCAAAACCUCAACUGCCGGUCUUCAUCUUUCUCUCUCUCUCUCUCUCUCUCUCUCUCUCUCUCUCUCUCUCUCUCUCUCUCUCUUUUUAAAUAAAAAAAAUUCAAUUUUUAAAUGUUUUAUUCAUAUACAAUUACAUAUUUGCUUUAAUAUACUCAUAUGUGGUUAAAAUCCUGAUAUACUAUGCAUAAUUUAGACACACUGCUCUGACUCACCCGGAAUCAGUGCAAAUAAGAAAAUGAUGCAGUCUAUCUUGUUCUUCCUUUGAUAGAUAAAUCCACACAGACAUGCAAGAAGGGUCAAUGGUUGCAGAUAUCUGUCCUUUCCCUCCAACAUCGUUACAACCAACAACUGUUGUACCUCCUUAUUGCUUCCCUAUGCUUUCAUCACCAAGCAUGAAUGAUAUAGAUAAUUUAGGUGCUUCUUUGGAAGGCUUGUUCUUUUCAGUACUCACAACAACAUGUUCUUGCCCAUCUACCUUUGCCUUCCUUGGUUCCCUUAAUAUCUUGAUCUCAUCGUACACAACCCAGGCAAGUGUUUUGGUUUCCUAUGUUUCCGUUUAUGCCUUGGGUCAAGUCUAUCAAAAUUAGACCUUCUAGCUUCUUACAGGCACGUCACAUCAUGAUGGCAAGAAUUUUUGAAAGAUACACGCCAUAUUAGUGGUGGCGAGACACCAACUGUUUUUCCACAUCCGAUGUCUGGCAAUUAAUUUGGCAUGUCAAAAGAAAACUUCCCAACUUCUCAUUUUUCAAACUCUUUUUUCUGAAAAGAUCAUCACGCAAACUUCUUCUUCUUCCGCUGCCGUCACCUUUCAUUUUCUCAAAGACCCUGCUAUAUGGCUCCUAAACGCUUGAAGACUACAAAGGUUCCUACUGAAACUCAUAGCUGGAUGUCGGAGGAAGAAGCAACGAAGCAUGCUUUUGAAUUUUAGGCUGUUCUUGUGCAAGAACAAUCGGCGAGUUCGGUGAGGCUGUAUUCUUCUCUCCCACUGACGUUGAGAGGUCCUUAUAGAACUCCACUCUUGGGUCCUCAUCAUCAUCAGGCUAACCUGAAAAUUUGCUGGCUUUGGAUACUCGCUUGGUCCAAGCUCCAUUUUCCUAUGGUUUGGAAGACAUCGACUGGGGGUGGGAUGCGAACCUAGAGUGGUUGGGUUCAAACCUUGGUGUGCCUCUUCCUGAGGAUUUCCUUCCUUAGGCUGACUGGGUAGAUGCGAUGCUGCCCUUGUUUAGAGACAAAUGGAUACUGAACAGUAUCUUCCAUGCCAUCAUGCUGUCGAAACACCAAAUUAUUAUGAAUCCUUCGUUGAUAGGUGCUUCUCUAUGUCUUUGGGAUAGCACUUCGAAUUCUUUUGCUUUUGGUCCCGGGCCCAUGACUCCCACCAUUCUGGAUAUGGCGGCAUUUUUGGCUUUAGGCCCCACGGUCUCAGUAUCGAUGUCCUAGCAGAUUAUGAGAUGAAGAAUCGGAAGAUUGGGGUUCCGAUGAGGGCUAGUGCAUCCAAAAUUAUGCGACUGAAGACCUACUCUGGCUUUGUGAUGACAUACCAAGGUAUGGCUGACCAGGACCAAGAACAUAUGAUGUUUUUGCUUUUCUGGUUGAACAAAUUUAUUUUCCCCCAUGCUGAAGAGGGCGUGAAGAUCGAGUACAUGCAUCUGGCUAAAGCUCUUCAUAAUGAGUCAGAUCUGGCGAUGACCCCUUUUAUGUUGGCCUCGCUCUAUCAUUGUUUUUGUCAAAUUACCAUCAACCCAUUUAAUUUGAGCGUCUGUGGUCUUAUCUGGAUGGUCCAUAUAUGGUUAGAAUGGUAUUUCCCCGAACUAGGAAGUGCAGGAUCAGAGUCUCUUGAAGAUGUUGCUCCGGCCAUUGUUCUUCUUACGAGACCGAGAAGGCCGGUCAGCACGAAGGUGUGCUUUAUUUUCUUUAGGGAAUGCAAGCAACGUCCCAGGACGAUCAGGCUUCACUCUCUGCUUAGUGAUACGUUCUGGUUUGUAGAAAGAAGUCUUCAUGAAGCUCCUCGACACUGGAGGGAUUUGAUCGAUUUUCAGUCCCAAUUACAUGCUGAUAUAAGUGUCGCCUGUCCGGCGAGCAGAGAUCUCUUCUUCGGAGGGGUUCACACUGACAAUACAUGUGCUUAUGGGGUUGAGGCCUAUAAUCCCCAGUAUGUGGGUCGCUAGUUUGGACUUGUUCAGGCCAUUCCCGGAUUGAGGUAUAGUUCAUUGAAUAAAGGAAGUUCAUGGCAAAAUCUGUCUAUGACUCCUCAAGAGAUUAGAGCAGUGAGGGCUUCGGGGCGGAGCUGAGGUAAGAAAGUGAGGGUGCUGCCUUAUGACCCAUCUCUACUCUGUACUCCCUUAUUUCAUGAAUUUUGGGAGGAUAGAUUCUCAUCUUGGCUGCCUGAACCUGCUACGCUCCUUUAUACUUCGACGUUCCACAAUUGCCCUUUUGCUAGAUUAAUGACUGAACAAGAAGAAUCUUCCAUGCGGCAUAACUUGGUGCGUUACCAAGGUGAAGCUAUGCUAGGUGAAAGUGCACUAUCUUCAUUGUUUGUUUUUCGCCCUAAACCGGGUGUACCAUUUCUAACAACCUGGAUUGUUUUUGGUAUUCUGGCAGAAACUACUGCGGAUGAACCGAGUGAUCCUGGAUUGAACGGUAAGUCCUUGUGUCUUUUCUAUAGCUCAGAGUGAUGUUCCUGCUGCUGACGAAACUCAAGCCUUGCCCCCUGUUUCUGUCGUACCUCCUCAUACUUCUGGUUCGCAUCUUAGGUCUAAAGAUAAAGGAAAGGCUCCUUUGGAAGAGUAUGAUGUGGAAGAGAGUGAUGAAGACGAAGAUGAAAUGCCGCUUCAAAGGAAACGUGGAGCUUCUGUCCUAUCAACUCGUGAUGCAGACUUUGAUUCGGUCCCUGGAGAUGGUAUACUCUCCUUCCUUGGCCCUUUUUUAUUUUGGUAUGGGCUCCUCUUUUGCCUUUCUUAACGUUAAUUUUGUAAUUUCUUAAAGUUGGAAGUAAGAGGGCAAGGGUAGAAUCUUCUCCUAAUGUAGAAGAAACAUCUUUAGUGGGUCCAGAUGAUGUGCCUCAGGUUUGUCUUGAUUUAAUUUAAUCCUUGACUUCAAGAAAAGUUUUGGCCUUUUCUUAUUUAUAUUCAUAUUCUGUAGUGACCAGGUACGGAAAAGGUCUCCAGCCUUUUUGUUGUCAAAGAAUCCAAGAUGGUGACCCUGAAGGUGGGGACCAUUAAGCUUGAAGAAGCUGUUGAUCUUCCACCUUAUGAGCCAUACUUAGGCUGAGAUGUGGCUGCAGAAGGAAUGCUUUCGAGGAGAGACCCUAUUUUCCAGAGUCCAAGCAUGCUAAGAACUCAACCUUACCAGCGCAACGGGCAAGCGUAUUGUCAUGGAACUGAGACAGCCUGAUAUGGUACUUGCUAACGCAGUGGAUAAUCUCAAAUCUCUCUGGAAUACAAUCCGGGCUCUUGAUUUUGAUCUGGUGGUGGAACCUGAUACCUUAUUGGGAAUGAUUCUUCAUAUUCACCAGAUCGCUUUGGUGAAACCUCAUCUUGUCCAUGCAUGCGAUCAUCUAGAACAAUGGUUGAGCCGGGCCGUAAAGCACAUUUGGAUAACUAGAGAGAUUCUACCUACUGUGAGAGAUCCAGAUGAGAUUCUACCUGGCUGACCACUUGAGGCGUUUGGUACAUGAAGAAGACCUUCUACCUAUUCCAGAGGCAUUCCCAGAUGAACAAUUGCUGACCAUUGAGCUAAGUGAGCCAUGGUAUGCUGAUAUCGUGAAUUAUAUUGUGUCUAAACAAGUCCCAAGCACCAUAACUAGGCACCAACGCGAUAAACUUAAAAAAAUGGCACGGUUUUAUGUGUGGGAUGACCCUUAUUUGUGGAAAUAUUGCCCUGAUCAAAUUAUUCGUAGAUGUGUGCAUGAUUCUGAGUUUAAUUCAAUCUUAACCUUUUGUCACACUUAUGCAUGUGGGGGUCACUUUGGUACACAACGCACAGCACUUAAGGUUUUAGAAUGUGGAUUUUAUUGGCCUACUAUCUUUAAGGAUGCUAGAACUUUUUGUUUGACUUGUGAUCGUUGUCAAAGAACGGGCAAUAUAGGUGCAAAAGAUCAAAUGCCGCAAACCCCUAUCUUUUAUGUGGAGAUUUUUGAUGUUUGGGGUAUUGAUUUCAUGGGCCCUUUUCCUUCCUCAUAUGGUUUUAAUUAUAUCUUACUUGCUGUGGAUUAUGUUUCGAAAUGGGUGGAAGCAAAAACCAUCCGUACCAAUGAUUCCAAAGUGAUUGCAGAUUUUAUUAAAACUAACAUAUUUGCAAGAUUUGGAAUUCCAAGAGUACUUAUAAGUGAUGGAGGCUCUCACUUUUGUAAUCGGACCAUAGAGGCACUACUUAAGAAGUAUAAUGUCACACAUAAGGUUUCAACACCUUAUCAUCCCCAAACAAGUGGACAAGCCAAAGUUUCCAACCGGGAAAUCAAGCAGAUCUUGGAAAAGACGGUUGGACCAACUCGAAAGGAUUGGAACUUGCGUUUGAAUGAUGCAUUGUGGGGAUAUCGUGCUGCCUACAAAACACCAAUUGGAAUGUCUCCUUUUCAGCUCAUUUAUAGGAAACCAUGCCAUCUUCCAGUUGAGUUGGAGCAUCGUGCACAUUGGGCAGUCAAGACUUUCAACAUGAACAUUGAUGCCGCUGGACUUCACAGGAAAUUGCAAUUGAAUGAGCUUGAGGAAAUUCGGACUGAAGCUUAUGAGAACGCUCAUAUUUACAAGAAGAAAACAAAGGCUACCCAUGACAAGAUGAUUCGUGGUAAAACGUUUUCUGUGGGGGCAGAAAGUGUUACUUUUCAACUUUCGCCUUCAUUUGUUUUCGGGUAAGUUGCGUUCUAAAUGGAUUGGUCCUUUUGUUGUUACUAAUGUUUUUCCCUAUGGUGCAGUCCAAAUUCAAAGUUUAAAGACAGGACAUGAAUUCAAAGUGAAUGGACACCGUUUGAAGCCAUAUUAUGAGUGUUUUGAGGAGCAUGUAGUGGAAGACGUACCCCUCCAUGCCAUUGGCCCUAGUGAAGCUUAAAGGGAGGUAUCGUUCGGUUGGAAGAUGUUAAAGCAAGUGCUUCUUGGGAGGCAACCCAUGUGUUCAAAUAGAAAGAUAACGGAAUCUCCGGGGCUCUACAACCAGAUUUGCUCUCUUUUACUCCUCUUUAUUAUUUUUACUUUGCUAUGAUUGUCAGAGUGCUUUUAGUGAUUUAUUUUCGAAAUUCACCACCUGUCACUACUAAUGUUGUUUUUCACUGUUUUAAAAGUGUUUUCGUGCUUUAUUUAAAAUUUAUUAAUAAAUAAAUAACCAAAAGAGUCAAGAGUCGUUUUUGUUGUUUGUUUGUGUCUUAGGGUACCUUUUUUAAUUGCAUGACUGUUAAAGAAAGUUACAAACAUGGGUGGAAGUUUGAUAUGCUCUUUGGUUAAUACUUAGUUAUAGUUGUCAAUUACGAAUUCACAUGUAAUCACACACAAAAAUAAUAAUAAAUAAAUAAAUAGAUAAUCAGUUUUUGUAACAUGCUGGAAGGAAGGAACUCAAACUAAAACUACAACCCUGAGAGACUGAGCCUAUUCUUUGUUUGGAGAGUUAUUAAUCUUGAUAUUCUAGUUUUCUAAAGUCGUUGCAUGAUCUCAUUAUUUCUUUGCUUGGUUGCUACUUAGAAUGCUUUGUCAUCACUUUAGUUCCAAAUACUAGAACUCAUGCCUGUUCCAUUCAAAGCAUCAAAUUGAUUGCGUAACAAAUAACAAGAUGAAGUUGUUUAGUUACUAUCAGAGCCAAAAAGCCUUAUCCCUUGCAUAUGCAUUAUAGGUUUAACCCUUUUGAAGCCUUAUUUAGCCUAUUUUCUUUGUUAGAUUGCAUUAUCCCAACCUAGCCUAGUAUAAGAAUCCAUACCCUUAUUCUUAAAGAAUAAUGGAGAAUGACUUGUUGGGAAUUCCUUUUGAUUUACGAUUUGCAGAAAAACAAGCGUGGGGGAAGGAUUUGUUCCUUUGGCGUAGUGUUGUUUUGAAAAAAAAGAAAUUGAAAAAAAGAAAAAAAAAAGAAAAAAAGAAAAAGAAAAAAGAGAAGGGCCAAAUAUGUGAAUCUGACCCUAAAGUUGUAUAAAUCUCCCCUUUGUGCUAAAAAUUGGGUGCUAUAAUCACAAGUUGAAUUCCAAGUGUUGAUUUCAUUGCUCUGUUUACUAUUACUUUAAGAACCUUUGUUUAUCCGUAACCUUUCUUUGUUAGCCAAUACCUUAGCCCCAUUACAACCCUUAGACUUCUAUCUUGAUUGUUAUGUGUGUCAAUAUGUGGAGUUUAAAAUUGGUAUGAGCUUAUGGAAUCCCUGGUUCUCGCUUCUAAGUAGUAGCAUUCCGUUCAUGAGAUCAUAUACAUGUUUGUAGUAAUAAUUCCAUAAAGUGCUUUCUUUGUUAUAACAUAUGAGAGUGCUAGUCUACAUGUUUACAUCAAUCUUCUCACAUAUACUUAGUAUAGGGAGUAUAGUCAGAAAAUUUGUGUGAAAAUAAAGAGUGUAUCGGGUGAGGAAUUGAGUGAAUUCUCUAAGGUAUGUUACCACUUUCAAAUAUUGUUUUAAUUGAUUAAAUGCAAGCUAGUGAGUGGUUACUGUGAUUAAGUAUGAGCUCGAGGGUAAGGAUGGCUAAAAUCUGUGUGAGUAGUGAUUUUUAACAUGUCAUGUUUCAUUGGAAAUCCCUGAGGCAAUUGUUGGAAGGUUUAGGUUUUGUUUUGUUUUCUUUGUUUUGCUAGGGACUAGCAGAAGCUAAAUGUGGGGGAAUUUGAUAGGAGCAUAUUUAUGCGACUUUGCAAUCUUAUUUCUUUGCAUUUACUUAGUUAAUUCCCAUUUAUUAGAGUAAUUUAGCUUAUUUUCGUACUAUUGUAGGUCCAGAUGGCAAGAUUGGCAAGAAAGGGCAUUUUGGAGCAUUUUAGAGUAGUUUUGGACUUGGAAUGGAUAGCAUACGCAUGGGGCAAGGUGGAUGGACGUUUUUGAAGUUCAAAGAGGCUAGGAAUGUGCUAAAAAGAUGGGGAAAUUAAUUCAAGAAUCAGCUUCUGGGAGAAACAACCCUAACUGAUUUUAUUUUAUUUUACCUUAUCCUAAUCCUAAUCCUAUUCUACCUAAAUUCCAGCAAGAAAAAGGGGGGAUUAAUUUCAGAUUAGGAAACCUAAAAACCUGGUUCUAGAAGAAAGCAUUGGGGCCGCACCUCUUUCCUAAAAAGGUGGCACUUGGGCCCUAUCCUUAUUCAAAAAGAAAUCAGCCAAACAAAACCCUAAUUUCUAGGUUUUCUGCUGGGCCCUUUUACCCUAGAUCUACCACAUAUAUAAAGGAGGGGUUGGCGCAGGAAAAAGGAGUUCUUUGGUGCCGUAGCAAGAAAGGAGAAAGAGAGAAGAAGAACUUGGAGCCGGAACCUGCUGCAUCCAUUGGGGUUUUCAAGGUUCUUCCUUUGAUUAGUUUAAAUGUUUAUUCUAGAUUGCUUUUCAAUUAUUAUGAACAUGUGUGAUUGAAUCUCUUCUUAGUUAGAGGUGAAUUCGAAGCCAUGGACAUAUGUUUUAUAUGAAUUGAUUACUUCCAGUUAUGGUUUCAUAAAGUAUGAAUGUGAUUUACUUUUCUGUUUUAUUGAGGACUUAUUCUUGUAUGUUUAUUAAGGAUGCAUACUUAGUUUAUAUGCAGGGAUUUGAUGCUAGAAUAUAAGAGAAUUUCACCUAAUCGUUAUGAACUUAUAUUCACAAGUAGUAAAAGUCACUAGUGAUGAUUGCGUUAAGUAAAUUGCUGGCAGGAGUAUCAUGCUUUUCAUAGUUACAAAUGCCUUGUCAAGGCUUAUGAUUUUCAUAGAACUUAAUGAUCUUUGAUUUGUAUCUCUAUCAUGCUGUUCAUAUAGGGAACUUGAUAAGGAUAAUUUGAUUGCGUCGUUGAGUCCAAUUCAAUGAACUUAGGAAGGUCUGAGAGUUAAUUACUGCAUUCACAAUUAAUUUGGGACUUUGUCAUUCAUACUUUAUAGAAAGAGUAAUUGGAGAUCGAUUUGCGUGCAUAUGUUCCAUGUGUGGAGAAGAAUCCUCUAGCUAUCCCUACAUCCAUAUUUCAUUCACAACUUAGUUGUUUGCUGCUGUCAGUAUUACUUUAGUCUAAAUCAUCCAAAUCCCCCCCAACCAGUGUUCCCUUAACUUAGUUUUCCGUUUAAUAAGUUUAAUUUGUGUUGAUUAGCAUCCCUCCUAAUCCCCGGAAUAGAAUGAUCCCUACUUACUCGUACUACGAUUCUAUAAUUUAUAGGGUUUAAUUUGUGCAUUAGUUAUUUCUCACGCCAAAUUUUGGCACCGUUGCCGGGGAUUAACAAAAUUGCUAAUCUUUGCUUACGUCUUUCUUGUGUUUCUAAUUUUGUUUUGUUUUGUUUUCUUUGUUUUAGGUACUAGUAUAUGACUCGAAGUUCACACUCUGUUCGUGCGCACAUAUUGGACUUUGACGAUGAUUUCGAACGCACUUUGAGAAGGAAGAGGAAGCAGCCAUAACUCAAUCCCUCUAGUUCUAGUUCCGAACCUGAAUCUGAAGUUGAAACGGACUUGGAAGAGGAACAAGACAUGGCUGUAGACAAUCGAACAAUCAAGGAACUUUCUACCUCUGGAUUGGACAAUGCAGUCCCUCUUUGCAUUUAAUACCCUGGGGCAGCUGAAGGCAAGACCGAUGAGUUUAAAUUGAAGUCGAGUUUGCUACAUCACAUUCCCAAAUACCAUGGGCUGUCCAUGGAAGAUCCAAACAAGCAUUUGAAGGAAUUUGAAGUAGUAUGUUCAAGUAUGACUCCCAUUAACGUGGAUGGAAAUAUUUUGAAGAUGAAAGCUUCCCAUUCUCUCUUAUGGACAAGGCUAAAGAUUGGCUCUAUGAACUAGCACCUGGAACCGUUACUUCUUGGGAAAGUAUGAAGAAAGCAUUCUUAGAGAAAUUCCUCCCAACUUCAAGAGUCAUUCUUUUGAGGAAGAAAAUUAGUGGAAUUCAACAAGGCAUAGGAGAAUCCUUUCCAGUGUACUGUGAGCGUUUUAAGACGUUAGUUGCAUCCUGCCCACAACAUCAAAUGAAGGAAGAGCUUUUAAUUCAAUAUUUCUAUGAAGGACUACUUCCAUUGGAGAGACAAAUGCUUGAUGCUUCAGCGGGAGGUGCUUUGGUUGACAAAACACCAGUUGCUGCGAAGAUCUUAAUAGCAAACCGAGCUUUGAAUGCACAACAAUAUGAAGGAGUUGGAGGGAGAGAUCAUACACGGCCAAGUCAAGUUAAUGAGGUAAGUGCUAUUUCGGAACUUCAAUCUCAAAUGGCUAAUCUCUCUACUCUUAUUUCGCAGGUUGUUGAAGGAUCCAAAGUGCAAAGUACAGCCACUUGUAGCGUGUGCUCUAUGCAUGGACACCCCACUGAUCAAUGUCCUCAAUUAAUAGAGAAUGGGGGAUGGGAAAGUGCCAAUGCCGUAGGUUAUCAAGGCCAAAAUCAACUUAGGUAUGACCCGUUUUCAAACAUCUACAAUCCGGGCUGGAAAGAUCAUCCAAAUUUGAAGUGGAGGUAGCCUCAACAAACUCAAGAACAAGGUGGAUAUAGACAGCCACCUCCGGGGUUCUAUCAAAGACCAUUCGCACCACCACAACCUCAACCACAAACUGCCCAAUCAAAUUCAGGUUCGCCAUUGGAUAAUGGUAAAAUGCUUCAAGUACUAACUUUGACUCAAGGUUUACAAAAUCAAGCCAAAGAGAUGAGCAAAGUCAAGAAGCAAAUUGGGCAGAUGGCGAAAUUCAUGGGACGUCAUCCUGCUGAGAUGUCGUUCGGUUUCUCUUCUUGUCUGGAUUAGUUGCUCAUCAAUCUUCGCUCCUGUGGCGGAUAAUUCUAACUCACAUUCACAUUUGCACUUGCUACACAUUACGAUUCCAGCUGUAAUGGUGGCUUUCAACUUCUCUGGUGUUGCUAUAGUAACUUUCUUGUCCCCCUCUUCCCCGACAUCCAUAACAAUCUUCCUUUUGUUGCGUCUUUCGACCCAGUUAAUGCUAAUCAUAUGUGCAGGAAAAGGCUCAUUGUCCACUCUCAUGGUUGUUGGUUUGUCUACGAAGAUCUUGCCUUCGAUGAUGAGAUCCUGAAUGACAUCUCUAAAUUGAACACAGUUAUUAAUAGCAUGUGAAAAUGAAUUACGCCACUUACAGAACAGUUUGUUCUUCAGUUCUUCUAGCUUAGGAAAUAUGUGCUUCUCGUCGAGCUUGAUCGCCUUUCCUCGUAAUAAUUUGUCAAAGAUAUUUUCGACUUUUGACAGAUCGAAAUAGUAUGACUUGUGCUUUUGCUUGUAUGGAAUGAAUCCUCCAAUCGAGGCGGGGAUAUUUCGUUGCUCCUUCCCUGGCCUUACUAUCUCUUUGCAAGUGAUUGGAGUUUUCAUUUGAACGAUUUCAGCUAAUGCCACUUCAGGGCGAUAUCUUCUUCGACUUCUUCCUCCAAUGUUUUCAUUACUUCUACUUGAUGAAUUGGGUUCUUGUAAUACUCCUGCUUGGAGUUGUUCUUUCUUUGUAUAUCUUCCCUAAGUAGCAAUUCGUACUUGCUAGCUCUUCGUACUUGCCAGCUCGCUGGGCUACAUCCUGCAAAUCCAUGAAUUAUAUAUCAUCAAACUUUUUCCGAAGUGAUAGUCUGAGAGCAUUCUAUGCCAUUUUUAUGAAAUGUUUUUCAUCCAUAGGAAUUUUGCAUUUCUUUUGAGCUUUUUGAAAUGUGCGAUGAAAUCUAGCACUGUCUCAUGGUCCCCCUGCUUCAUAUCCGUGAGAUCGUUGAUGGUAAUCUCAGGUUCGGGCCUAUAAUACUGUUCCAUAAAUGCUCCUUCCAUCUCUGCCCAUCCUGUGAUGGAGUUCGGGCUAAGGUUGGAAUACCAAGUGAAAGCUUAGCCUAACAGAGAACUAGAAAACAACCUCAGCUUCAGGAGGGGUUGAGUUUCGAUUGCUACGCAUUGGGUCGAGAAAAGCCCUAUGUGUUCCAAUGCUGAUCUGUAUAAGUCUUCUCCAUUGAACAGACUAAAACUUGGGACUUUGAAGCCUCUUGGGAAAGGUAAAUCGUCAAUGUAAGCAGGAUAAGGCUUUUGGUAUGUAGGUCGGGCUGGUCUUCUGAUACCGGCCUGACCAUUAUAAAAGAGUUGCCUUAAUACUUCCAUUUCAUUACAAAUAUCCAUUUCUGGGUGGAUUCCAGGUGCAGGUUCGGCACCAGCUGGGGGUGCCUGCCCUACCUCCUCUUCGUCAUUAGAUUCCUAGAUUUGCUCAGGUAUCCUUUCAUUGUUUCGUCUUCCCCGUCCGUUUCCUCCGUUAUUGCCAUUUAUUAUGGGCGAUAUGUACCCUGAACCCUACCGGUUGUUGCCACCUGUCGGCGUGCAUGUUACUUCGGACUGGCUUUGGAGGUAGAGUGGCUUCACCAGUUUUUGGAGCCUAGUAUUUGGAUGGAGUUCCAAAUAGAGUGAGAUGCUGAUUGGCAAUCUUCUUGGGAGGGCUGAUCACCUUCGGCAUUUGUGGUGCCACAGAGGUGACAUUGAAUCCCAGUGGUUGAUCUACCAUCUAAGUGAGUCUCUAAUUGCCUUUUCCGGAGACGAUGAAUGGCCAUGACCACUCGUUUGCCCUGUGGAAUACCCUUGGGGGUUGUUUGGUACGGCGGACUGUCAUGGACUGGACUAAAUCCUGAGACUGUCUUGGAUUAGCUCGGAUUGGACUAAGCUGGAUUAAGUAUUGACCUACGUUUGGUGCUGCAUCGGACUAAGAAGCUGGAUUGUAAAAAUAGUGAAGACCUAUGUUUGGUGCUGUGUGGGACUAAAAAAUAAUUAUUUUAUAUUUAAAAAUAAUAAUUUUUAAAUAAUUAAAUGCAAGUUUUUUUGUUAUUAGAAUUACCAAAUUGACAAUAUACAUUUCUUUUCCUCCAAACCAAAUUCACAUGUACAUUUCAUAUGUGCAAAAGUUAGAAAUUUUCAUAUAUGCCAAAGUCAUCUACAUGACUCAGAAAUUAGAGGUUUAGUUCGCUACACACAAUUCUACCAUUAAUACAUACAAAUAAACAUCCACAAUUUCAAAAUGAAACUAAUAAGCCCCACAACCAUGAACCAUAUGGCUUUAAUGCUAGCAAAAUGUUAUACAAUUUGUGGUGUUUCCAAAAUGAAGCCAAUCUUUUCAAUGCAUCAUUUGUGGUGUUUCCAAAAAGAUAGAUGCAUCAAACUUAGCUAGGUCAUGUCCUCAAGCAUUGUCAUUAAGCAACUGCUCAACAAACACUUUCUUGAUAUCAUCAUCCAAAGACAUGAAUAUAGAUAUGUUUUGUGGCUUCUCCAAAAUGAGCUUUAGUGCUGCAUUUUGAUCUAAAGGAAAAAAUCCCAUUCUCUUGAGUUCUUUGGCAAUAUCAGAUCGAUCUAUUACCUUUUAUUAUAGCCUCAGUCACCAUGUGCAUCCUUUUCCCAGAUGCUUCAAACAAUUUCUCCAAUACAGUCACAAUCUUCUCUUCAUCACUUGAGCUUGCAGCUCUUUUCCUCUUAUUUUGACUGUUCAUAGAUUGGCUUCCUUCUAUGUUUAAAGACAUAGGAGAUGCAUCUUCCUGGACACAACUGUCACUAGCAUUAACAUCAUUAUUGCUUUGCUCUUCCAUUAUGUCAGCGGGGGCUUCAGCUCUUUGUCCGUUAGCACAAUCCUUUUCAAAGAUAUUAGAAAGUCUAUCAAACAAAGGAAAUGGUUUGCUCCUCCAUUCGGCUGCUUCCUUGUGGUGCUAUGAUAAAACAGGGCACCACUUAGCUUAUUUUCAAUAUGUUAAAAAAAAUAAUAAUAACAAAAGCAAGUUUAAAAUCUACACUCAUCAAACCCACUUGCCAUUUUUAUGUAAGAUAAAUAGCAAAAAUAUGUAAUCAUGUACCUGCACAUAAGUUUCCCAUGCAUCAUUACUAUCAACCUCAACACACUUUUUUAUAUCAUUCCAAGCAAAUCCACUUGUGUUUAUCAUGUCAUAGACUAUGCUAUAUUGCUUUUUCCACUUCUUCAAUUUGGAUUCAAUAUGAGGGCAUGCCUUUAGCCCCGAAUCAGGACAUUUAAUAUUCAAAGCCUUCUUCAUUUGGACCAUAGUACCAGAUUUGAAACUACCAGUCUCAUAGCGUUGGCUUGCAGCCACAAAAUCAUCUAGCACGGUCAAAAACGAAUCUUCUUCGAACUUGGACCAUGACCGCCUAGUUCCUUUCUUUCCUUGUUCAAAGUUUUGACUGUUACCUUCACUUUCCAUCCCUAAGAAUAAUCAACACAAAUAAAAUAAUACCACAGUCAAUAAUUGGAAUCUGCAAAGAAAACAUAACUUUGUUUCAAGGCAUGACUCUUCUUUAGUACAUCACAUAACCUUAAAAACAAAAUGAAAAAUAAAAUCAGCAAACAAAUUGAUAAAUUUUCUUUAAUACCACAAUCAAUACAUUGUUAAGGCCGAAUUAUCAUGCCUCAAAUACAAAUUACAAUCACAUAAAAAAGAAAACACCUUAAGAACUCAAACAUAAAUAACAAGAGUUGGCUAGUUAUUCGCAUUUCCUUGCCACUCAUUAUACAUUUGGAAUGCCAAGUCAUUCCUCCAAGUAGUCCAUUCAUCCGAUGCUCCAAUGGUGCCAACCAUAUCACCUUCUAUCACAUUUUCCGUCUCCUCAAUUUCAUUUAUUUCAUGCUCUAGCGGAUCUCUAGACAUCUCCCUCCUAAUGAGAUUAUGUAAAAGACAACAAGCCGUAAUGAUUCGACAUUGUGUCUUUAUUGGAUAAAAAGAUGGACUCCUUAGUAUGCCCCAUCUAGCUUUUAGCAACCCAAAACAACGUUCUAUUACGUUUCUUGCUUUAGCAUGCUUCAUAUUAAAAUAUUCUUGAUGAUUUACAAGUGUAUUUCCUUCUCUCCAUUCCGAUAGAUGAUACCUUGUUCCUCUAUAUGGUGCAAGAAAUCCCUCACCAUUUGUGUACCCACCAUCUACAAGGUAAUAAUAACCUAAUAACCAAAAAUUAAAAAUAAAAGAAGUCAAUUCCUGUUAUUGUGUGGUAAUUGUAUAAACUUACAAUUAUUUAUAAAGUGGACACUAGCUAAUGGCCUUACCGGUAGGAACUCUUAAUCCAUUAGGCCUAGUUAUGGCAUCUCGAAGGACUCUAGACUCGGAUGCGGAUCCCUCCUAACCCGGCAACACAAAUAUGAAUUGCAUAUCACGUAAGCAAACGGCCAACACAUUUGUUGCAAUUUCUCCCUUUCUAGUCCGAUAUCUCGGUUUUUCGGUUUCAGCUACUCGCACUUUAAUGUAUGUUCCAUCUAGUGCUCCCAAGCAAUUCUAUUUAAAAAAAAGGGUAAACUUUCAUUAAGUUUGUAUGCUGCACGGAUCAUAGAAAAGAAAGCCAAAGUAUAAUAAACAUACCUUAAACCAUUUCCAUCUAUGAUCUGUGCAGUUAUGACCUACAGGUUCCGGUACUCUCAAUAGACUACCUUGUAAUCUUAAAAUGCCUUGUAACAGGGAAUUGAAGUACCUACUAAUAGUCCCUCCUGAUCGAACAAAUCUAUUUCUAAUAGUACGAUUCUUAACAUGAUGAGCAAGCAUAUGCAAGAACAUACAUACUUGCUCCUCCACAGUCACCAAAUCGUCAUUCUUUAACCUUCCAUCCGUGCGAAGCAAAUCACAUAAUAAACCAAACGUCUUUAAAUCCAUUCUUAGUUCACUCACAUAUUCUCUAUCAUUGCCUAAUACACUGUUCAAAUAACGUAAUCGAUUCUCAUGUCUAACAAACGAACGGUCAUUGAGGGAACGUCUUUCUAAAAGUCUUCGAUUGCUUCUCAUAUUUUUUAGCAUCAUAAGCACAAGAAUCGUGCAAGCACACAUGGUCUCUAAAUGCCACAUCUCCAACAAUAAUAUCAACAACAUUCGUCUUUGAUCCAUAUCUAUUAAUCAAAAAAGAAAAGAAUUAUUCCACUUAACCAAUCCUACUGAAAGUAAAAUAACCCCAAAUUGAAAACAAAAAGUUUCAUAUAUGCAAAUAGAAACGGUUUAAUUAAUGCAAAGCCAUAAUUAAUACCAUUCGCAAAGUAUGAAAAAAUCACCCUAUAGACCAAAAAUUAUCAACCAAUGUGUGCCUAAUACCACAACAAAUAUGAAAAAAAAAGUUCUAGGAUUAUUUCACUUUUUGCCAAAAAAUAUUGCUGCUGAUUAACACCAUGUUAUUCAUUGCAUUUCCUUAUUUGAGAGAUCAAAACCAAGUGAUAUUCAUGGAGGAUGCAAAUUGCACUGUCAAAUGACAGAUACGCUUCAAAUAUUUGAAUUUGAUGCCCAAUAAUAAUUAAAGUUGAAAAAACAGGUCACAUGCGUUGUUUUGUUAUAUCUACCAUGGCCUUGACAAACAUUGCAUGUGCUGCACUCACUGUUAAACCUUAAACAUCGUUGUCAUGUCAACACCAUCACCAUGUUAAUUGAUUAAACUAUGUAUAAUUUGAGUCAUUGACCUUCAAACUAUCACAUUGAAUUCAAGACAAACAGCAUAUAAUAUGCCAAAAUUAAUUGCUACGGAAUAAAAUUUAAUCACGGGAAAUUACUUGACAAAUGAACUUCUUUUCUUUUUUGCUAAUUUGAAUGUCAAACAGCUGUUACAACACUAUGCAGUGCAGCAGACAAUAAGAAUGGCACAAAGACUAAAUGAACACAAAAGGCAGAGAGUAUGAAAUGAAAUGAAUGGCGCAAAUACUGAGUGACAAUUGACACAGUGGAAGGGGAGGUAGGAGAUUUAAUAGAGAUAUUAGCUAGGAGAAACAAAAAUUAAUAACUUUGAAUCUGCUUGCUGCUAGCCAGGACACCAUCGCAUCCAUUUUUUAUUUUUUAUUGCAUCCAUAUUUUUUUUUUAUUGACUUUGCUUUGACAUGGCCAAGGAAAAAGGAAAAAGAAAAUUGAAUCACCAAAUCACCAACCAAGAAAAAAGAAAAUUGGCAAACUCCAAAACUACAAAUCUUCCUAUGUGUAAUCUUUUAGCACUAAACCACAAGGAUGCAUCAUCCCACAUGAACUAGUAAGUAAUGAAAUCCAUUAGAUAGUAAUGAAAUCCAUAAAAACUGAAACAGUAAGUUCAAUAAACUCAAGAUUCAUGCCAAAAGUCUACUCUACUUCUGAAUUUCUAGGUUUUCUGAAAUACCCAAUUGCAAAUUAAUUGUCAAUUAACAUCAUACAUAUAUAUAUAUAUGUCACUACAGAUUCUACGAAAAAUUAGAGAAGAGAAGAAGAAAAUAACAGAGAAAAGGAAGGAGAGAUUCUCAGAGCACAGUCAAAAUUGUUAAGGAGAUUUGCAAAAAUCAAAGAGAUGGAAGAAGGAAUAAGAGAGGUAUCCAAAGGGAAAGACCAGAAUUGAACGAAGGAGAGGUGGAGUCGCAAAGAUGGAGUCGCAGAGAAGGAGUCACGAACUGGAGAGAGGCGUGUUCAAUAUAGCGAAGGCUUAUUUUUUGAACCCAUUUUGAGCUUCUCUGUAUAAGGAGAACAAGUGAGGCGUUUUUUUUACUGUUGGGCUCUACUAUCCCAUUUAAGUUAGUCUCCUUGCUAACCAAACAUGGGCUUCAGGUCCAAUAUAGCACAGUCCCAUUUAGUGAGUCAUACCAAACAUGCCCUUGUAUGACUAAGGGUGUUUUGGCAUUUGGCGGCAUCUCUUCUUCUUUUCGGACCAUUCGAUCUUCUUGUUAUGCCUGCAUGGCCCACUCGAAGAGGUAGCCUAAAUAUGCCCUCGUCUCGUUCCCUUGUAGGGUUGCGUUUAAAUGUCUUUUCUCAAUGCUUUGAGAUAGGUGAUUCAUGGAGUUGGUCAUAGCCUGGAAACCUUCUCUCAUGACUUUUUCGAGUCGUUCGAAAGGACCUCCGAAGAUGAUUCUAUCGAAUCGAAUUCUGCUAUUUCUUUAUUUUUCUCGUAGCUGGCCUGGGUGGAAUCAGCCAUGUAUAUUUUCUUUUUGGUCCUUCUCACCAUACACAGAGCAAAGUCCCACCAGGCAUACCAAAAAUUAUGUUGGUCCUUUUUUCCGUCCUUCGUCCCUCUUGCCAACCACGAGGGUCAGCUCUGCUUUGAGGAAUGAAGAGGAAUUGUUGGAUCAACACCAAUGCCUCGAUCGGAUGGUGUCUCUUGGCUCGUAGAGAGGACUCCUCCAAUUUCUGAAUAAAAUUGAAAGUUGAAUCAGUUUGCCAAAAGCGGACGGGCCCGAUCAAGGCUCUAUCUGCCAACUUCUUCUUAGUACUGAUGCCUUUUGUUGCGUAGGUGUGCCACUAUUGAGUAAAUAAUCAGCCCAAUGGAUAUGGUGUGGAUAUGAAUUAUUAGUGUUGAUGGAGCUUGCGCCUCCUUUCUAGACUUCUUACCAAGCCAUUGUGCUCCCGGGGGAGGGGGGGCGUGGGGGUUACUGGCCCGGAUGGAUUCUUUUCUAUGCCUCAAUUAAGAGGACUUCAAUAUUCUUUCCUUCGUGAGUAUUGCCUUGACAAGUGUGAGCGUGCACCUAAACAGGCAACAGAGCAAGACCAAGUUUGUGGUUAGCAAAAAACCCUACCUGGGUUUUAUUAACCUGCUUCAAUAUUUUCUCGUCUUCAACUGAAUCAAUCGUUAAUUCGGGCCCAGCUUAACUUCUUUCCCUUUCUUUUACUAUUCUUUUAGAGCCGCUAUCCCCUUUCAGGCCCGAAUGCUAAUUUUUCGGGGCUAUUUGAGGGGUAAAAGGGCGAGAAUUCAAUUUUAUGUAUUAGAAUGAUCCGUGAUUCGUUCUUCAGAUAAUCAAGUGAAUUUUAUCUAUAUAGUUUCUUCUGCAACUUAUGUUUACUUUGAACCUCAAACUAAAUAACAGAAGAUUCUUUAAUUGAUCCAUCUAUUACCCUUGAAUCUGAAUUACAGAGUAAAGGAGAAGAUAAUGGAGAUUUCUCAAUCCAGUUCAAACGAUUACAUGAAGUGAAACAAGAAGACUUCUUAAAAGAAAAAUCAUACCAUGGACAUGGCAGAGCUACAAGAGAUAAGCGCAGAAGUUGGCAACCGGUUAUCUAACGAAAAAGUAGGCAGAUUGUUAUCUUGGGAGUUUUCAAGUGUUUUUUUUUCUUUUGAGACGUUGCGUCUAGUUUUGGAGAGAGAGUCCUCUUCUUCUGAAGUAGACCUUCAUUAUUUAUAGAGGUGGAGGAACUUGUAAUGAUAGAAACUACAACAAGACCUUUGGUUUGUGGUUCAAGGUCAGCUGCUAGUUUGCAUAUCUUAACUAGUUCAUAUAGGGAAUGAUGGAGGACUUCUGGCAAGAACCAUCGGUUUCCUUUGUGGAACUUUCUUGAUUUGACUUCUUUGUACUUGAAAACCUAGCUGGCAAUUUCGAUCUUUUCUGAUUUUGGGGGCUUCAGUACGACUUGUUUUCUUGCUGGAAGAGAAGGAGGUCAAGUUGUCAUUAAAUGUGAUAAUCUCCUCCCACGUUGGUUCAUAAAACACUCUUACCGAUCCUUUACUUGUAGCACGAGAUAAAGGUUUGACUCCCAUGACUUAGGCCUUUUCGAUUAUUAUGAGAGGCCCAGUUGGGAAAAAGAUGACCUUAAGAAAAGACAAAUGCUGGUGGGCCUGACUUUAUCUUUAAAAAAUUCUUUUAAACUUGAGACCAUUUUUGGCCCGUUUACUAAAAUUGGGUACAAAUGGUAUCUAAAUAUAUUGAUAUAUAGAUAUGUAUGGCAAAUUAUUUCCAUGAGUGCUGGAUUGAUAUUAGGAUAAAAUAUAUUAUGUUAUUAGCCAACACAGAAUCAUGUGCACCAGUAGGUGUAAAACUUAACCAUGAAAGAAACAUCAAUCGGGUUUCCCAAAUCUGAUGAUGUAACAAAACCAAAACCAGGUGAAACAAAAUUACCAAAUGACCAGCAUAUAAAAUCAUUCCUUCUUUUUUUUUGGGGAAAUGUAUUUGAUUAAAUUUAAUGGGAUACAUUUUAGUAAACAUACCCAGCAAAACGUUGUCAUCAUGUGAGAUUUAGUCUCCACUGUUGGAUUAUUGCUUAUCUCAGUUUGUAAAAUCUCUGUAAAUGAAUCAAGCAUUAAUUUUAGUCUAGUACCUCGUGGUUACACCCUUAAGAUAAGUUAGUCCCCAUCUUUUUAAUUUUAACAAUUACAUACCCCGAUCUUUUAAAUUUGUUACAAUGUAGUUCUGCCGUUAGGGUUUCUGUCAGAUAUCUCUAUUAGUUGCCUACGUGGCACUAUGGGUCCCACCUUUUUCACAUAAUUUAGUUUGAAAUUAAUUUAAAUAUGAAUAAAAUAUUAAAAACCAAAAAAUAAAAAAUAAAUUAUUCUCUCUCUCUCUCUCUCUCUCUCUCUCUCUCUCUCUCUCUCUUCUCCCGAUCAAGCUCCAACACCCAACCUUCAAACCCAUACCAUAGCCACCCUCCACCACAGCGCAACCACCCAGCGCCCCCUUCCCUAUGACCACUACAUUUAACCCCCAACGAACCCAGAACCUCAACUGCCGGUCUCUCUCUCUCUCUCUCUCUCUCUCUCUCUCUCUCUCUCUCUCUCUUAUCUCUGCUUUCUGCCCCAUGACACCACCACCUGCAAACUAUAUCACACCCCAACCUGCUAUCACAUACCCACGAUCCCAGAAACCUAGACCCGAUUUCUUCCCCCCAACCCAGAUUUCUUCUCCCUCCCCUAAUUUCUUCCUCCCCUUCCAGUUUCUUACCUCACACAGAUUUAUUCUCCCCUCCUCUCUGAUUUAUUCUUCCCCACCCUCAUCCCAGAUUUUAAAAUAUUAGAAAAAAUUAAAAAUAAACGAAAAUGGAAAUGAACACCAAAACCCACAAACAACCACUCGUAUCUAAUCCGUCCUCACCACACAAUUCCUCCCUUCAAUUUGAUCAGCGCACCCGCAAAUAUCUAUGGAAGACGGCGGUGGCUAACAUCCCAUACGGUGGUGCCAAAGGUGGGAUAGGAUGUGAUCCAAGGGAGUUAAGUGUUUCAGAACCAGAACGGCUCAGCAGAGUUUUUUUUUUGUGGGUGGCGACAUGAGGGGUGGUGAUGAGUGAGGGUCCACUCUGGAGGAGUACUAUAGUAAGAGUUUUCACCCAAAAGAUACAUGAUCUUAUAGGCAUCCACACUGAUAUUCCAGUACCAGAUAUGGGGACGGCUCCACAGGUUCACCAUCCCAUAUUUUCCCUUCCAUACUUUCGAAGACUAAAUUUUAUCAACUUGAAUUUCAGACUGACUUUUUAUCAAUUUUCCCUUCUUCUUUUUUUCGGUUUUCGGUGUCUAAACAGACCAUGGCAUGAAUCUUACUCAAAAUUUCAUGGCUACUCACUUGCCGUAGUGACUGGAAAACCUACUGUGAGUAUAUAUGUUGGUGAACAAGUCCCCACCACAUUCUUCUAUUUGCUAAAAUCAUCAUGUUGGCUAAUAUUGUCUCUUGUGUAAAUUAGGAUCUUGGAGGGAGGAUCUCUAGGAAGAGAUGCAGCAACGGGAAGAAAUCGAGAGGAAUUUGGGGGAAGAAAUUGGAAGAAAGGAGAGAGAGAGUUAGUUUUAUUUUAAAUAAAAAAAUUCAAUUUUUAAAUGUUUUAUUCAUAUAAAAAUUUAAAAAAGAAAAAAAAUUGUGGGACCCGUAAUGCCAUGUAGGCAACUAACGGAGAAAUCUGACGGAAACUUAACAGUGGAACCACAUUGUAACAAAUUUAAAAGACCAGGGUAUGUGAUUGCUAAAAUUGAAAAGAUAGGGACUAACAUGUCUUAAGAAUGUAAUCACAGAGUACUAAACUGUAAUUAACCCAUGAAUCAAUAACCUGCAAUGAGUAACCAUUAAGACCUUCUGUUUUAAGAUUUUAAACACAUAAUUUACAACUUACAUUACAUGUUAUUGCAGCUUCUGUUAGUAGGUCAUGCGAUUCAUCCUUAUACACAGCCGAGUACGAUCCUUGCCACAAUGGAACCCUACUUUACAAUUACAUAUUUGCUUUAAUAUACUCAUAUGUGACUUAAAUCCUGAUAUAUUAUGCAUAAUUUAAACACAAUGCUCCGACUCACCCAGAAUCAAUGCAAAUAAGAAAAUGAUGUAGUCUAUCUUGUUCUUCCUUUGAUAGAUAAAUCCACAUAGACAUGCAAGAAGGGUCAAUGGUUGUAGAUAUCUGUCCUUUCCCUCCAACAUCGUUACGACCAACAACUGUUGUACCUAAUUGUUGCUUCCCUAUGCUUUCAUCACCACGCACGAAUUAUAUAGAUAAUUUAGGUGCUUCUUUGUAAGGCUUGUUCUUUUCAGUACUCACAACAACAUGUUCAUGCCCAUCUACCUUUGCCUUCCUUGGUUCCCUUAAUAUCUUGAUCUCAUCAUACACAUACCCAGGCAAGUGUUUUGGUUUCCUAUCUGUUUAUGCCUUAUAACACAUGUUUUCAAAUCAUGUGUGGAUUCAUUACUCUUUUCCCUAUUCUCUUUUUGAAUAAAUUCAAGAAGUUGUUGGACGUCGUUUGACAACUCAUCAUACUGCUUGUGUGCAUCUGCUACAAUGACUUUUGCAUUACAACACAGUUCAUUGUACAUCAUAGCCUACACCUAUGCUUCCUCGAGUUUCACCUUCAAUUUUGAAAUUUCAUCCUUUAUUAGCUUAUUUUCACUACUUAGAUUUUCCAAGUCCAUUAAAUCGCUCCUUCACCAACCUAUUAUUUGAACGCUCAUCCUCUAAUGAUGCGUUUGGAUGAGAGAAAUAAACUUGGAAUUUGACAAAAGUCAGAAUUUCUAAAUUGACAUGGACCAAUUCCUGUGUUUGGAUAAAAAAAAACAUAGAAAUUUAGAAAUUCUGAUUGGGAUAAAACAUGGAAUUUGGAGAUCAUAAAUCCCAACUUUAAAUUCUAUCUAAAAGUCGUCAUUUCUAAAGAGUGUUGCUAUUUCCACCCACUUGUUUUAUUUUCCCACCCGCCUUAUCUUCAAAAUUUUAAUGACAAAUUUACCUAAUUGUAAAAUGACUUCUGAGGAUAAAUUUACAGCCCUCUCUCUCUCUCUCUCUCUCUCUCUCUCUCUCUCUCUCUCACUCAUGCACCCACACCCAUAUUUUCUUUUAUUUUUUUUAUCUUUUUUCCAAAACUCACACCCUUCUCCAAUCAAUUUGGGGGGCUGUACAACCAUCUCUAUCACUAGUUCAAGUGUUGGUUUCGGAUGGUCUUCCUGGACCUCCUUAAUUGUAAUGCUUUGUGGGGAAUUUCUCUUAGCUGGUGCAUAGUGCCUCCGUAUGAAAAUUCCUCUUUGAAUGCUCUGCAUUUUGGUCCCAGUGGCGUUGGAACGAUAUAUAUGUAUAUAUCUAUUCAUUUUGGGUUUUGUCUAGUGAAGGAGGAAUGAGGGUUCAAAUUGGUGGUGGGGAUGGCUGCAGAUGGGAGAGGGAGAGGUGGAUAUGGCUGUGAUGGUCAUGGUGUUAAUUGUUGGGUUUUCACCAGAGGAGGAGGUUGAGGGGGGGCAGCAAGGGCAACUUGGGGUGAGGAUGAGCUAAUUGAAGAAAUUUUUUUAUAGAAUUUCUUUUUUAUUGUAAUGGAAAAUAUGAAAAAUAAUUAUAGGGUAUUUUAGGAAUAAUGAUGGGUGGAAAGAUAAAUAUGAGUUUUUUCAAAUUUACAUGGCGGGUGGGAAGAUAAAGUGGGUGGGGAAAUAAGACAAUAGGGUGGAAAUAGCAGGACUCUUUCUAAAAUCCCAAGAGAGAUUGAGUUAAAAAAAAAUAUAACUUUACAAAGAAAGGUUAAAUUCUGUGUUUUAAAUUCGUUCACCCAUACAAGAAACUUUACAAAUUCUAGAACAUUAAUUUCCAUCAUUUUAAAUUUCUUCAUUUAUGAAAUCCUUUGUAUUAAAUUUCCUCAUCCAAACGUAUUGUAAAAGUAAUAAACACUCCUUUAGCCUUUCCUCCAUAUCAAACUCAGAUUUUGUAGGUGUUAUGGGGGAAUCAUCAUGACCACAGUCGUUCACGACUCCAUGAAAACCAGUGUCUUGUGUGUGGAUAAGUUGGAACAUGUUGGGAGGGUCCAAUUCAGCAACUAUUUUCUGAAAUACAAAAAACAAAAAAAAAAAAGAUAUGUAAAUCAUGACACAUGGAACAUAUGUAUGGGAAAUCAAAAGACAAUUGACUCAAUCAUAUCAGCACACAUCCUUCCGCUACCUUUCCAGAGGCAACACUAGUGAUCUCAGAUGACAACCUUAAAUCUGUAGUGUUAGUCUCAGUUCCAUGCUGAAGUGCAGCACUAUGUGAUUUAUGCCUCAUAUUUCUAGCAUCUGGUGUUUUACGCAAAUCUUUGAACACCUGCUACAAAAUUAAUAAUAUACAAAAUAAAAAUUCAUUGAUCAAACAUGUUGAUGCUCAAAAUGGCCCAGCCAAUAGUGAGUCCAACUUAGUGAUUAGGUAUGCGGGGUCUUCAGCAGGGAAGAGAGCUGAGGCCCUUGGUGAAAUAUAGGUUGAUGGGAAACCUGCAGAAGACAAAGUGGGAGAAGCAAUCGUUAAGCUUCGGACACCGGUGUGGUGCCGGCCGAAGGCUCUCCGAUGCCUAAGUCAGUUACAAGUAGUAAUUCUGGUAGAGUAACAGUAAAAGUGGGAGAAUAGUUGUCCUUUUUACCUGGGUACUGUUCCCUAUUUAUAGGGAGGUGAAAGUAGGAGGUUUGCACAAAGUUCCGAUGUGGGACUUUGUGCAAGUCGUCGUGGUGGCGACACAUGUCCUGGAGAUUAGGUUUGCCAGCUGGGAGCUUCGGUAGGUGUCUGGCACCUCGGAAGUGUGUCUUCCUUCGGCACAGGAGAAGGCGUGGCUGCCUUGGUGCUAGUCACUUUGGUGCUGGGUCUGCUCGGUUCAUUAUGGUGUAAACAGUAGUCCCCCAAGUUUGCGGUCGAGAAGUAACUUCUGGGUUGGGAACUUGUGAGUUUUGUAAUUGUAACCGAGCAUUCCAGCUUCGUUGGGAGUCGUAGGGCACUCCCUAGUCCCCCAAGUUGGCAAGCUAGGAGUUGCGUCAACACAUGGUAGCUGGGUACCUGGGUACUUGGGCAUGUUGCAGAUAAGAUGGGAGCUGGGUCAGUAGGGGAGCCAGACCUUCGAAGGAGCCAGGUCUUGUGGAAAAUUUCGGAGACUCCAAUUCUUCCAUGGCUCUCGCCGUUCGGCAAGGGUCUAGCUCCCUUCUUCUUCUUUUCUUUUUUUUUUUUUGUGAGUGGCCGGGCCAUUUGGAAAUUUUGAACUCUCCAUAGUUCCUCCAUGGCCCUUGCCGUUCGGCAAGGGUCUAGCCAAUUUUUUUUUUUUUUUUUUUUUUGAGCUUCGGGAGCCAGGCCUUCGAGGGAGCCGGGUCUUGAAAAUUUUAGACUUCUCCACAAUUCCUCCAUGGCCCUUGCCGUUCGGCAAGGGUCUAGCCAAUUUUUUUUUGUGGGGCUUGAAAGGUCGGGCCAUGUGGAGAGAGCUUGAAGGCUUAGCUUGGAUUGGGCCUUCGGCAAGUGGGUGGACUUGGGCCCAAGCUGGGCUUAGGCAAGUGGUUGGGCUAGGGUUUGGAUUUGAGAGGAGGGGAAAAUUUUGGGGGUUUGCUAGUGCCGUUCGGCAAUAUGGCUAUAUAUUGGAGCAAGGUGCUUCGGCAGGUUGUGAGUAAGGUGAGGUCUUGUCUUGGUUCCGAACGGCAAUUUAGAGAUAGGGUGAGCUAGUUUGCCGAACGGCAAUUUGGAGCUAAGGUUGAGGGCAGCUUACGGUUCUCAAAGAUCUUGUUGGAGUGUGCCGUUCGGCAGGCAAGAAGAGUUGGAGUGUUUGCACGGCUAGGUUUGUUGUCGUGGAUUGGAACAGCAGUGCGUUCGGCAAGGCGGCUCAGCAGCUGGAGUUCGGCAGGUGGUCUUGCCAUUCGGCAGAGGACUUGGCGGCGGCUGGGUGGUCUCGAGGCUGGCGACUUCGGCAAGUGACGAAGGUCUUCGGUAAGGCAGCUUCGGCAGUGUCGAGCUGUGCCGCAGCUGGAGCAAGUUUUGGUUUUGUUGGGACCUUGCCGUUCGGCAAUAUUGAUUGGGAAGUUUUUGUUUUCAGUCUUCGGCAAGUCCUGUUUAAGCAAGGCAGCAGCACCGAUUGGAUUUGGAAGAUCCUUGCUGUUCGGCAAGGCUGGGCGGCGGCACCAAUUUUGAGUUUGAAGACCCUUGCCGUUCGGCAAGGGCGAUUGGCAAGGUCAGCGGCACCGAUUCUUGCUUCGCACAUCUGGGUGGCUAGCCCUUGCCGUUCGGCAGGUCUUUGGCCACUGUAGGCGGCGUCGAUCAAAGCAAAGGUUGUGGGCAGUUGCUUCGACAAGCGGCAGCAAGGCAGUUGGGAGCACGGCUUCUGGCGAAGCUGGCUGGACAGUUUUGGUGAGCACGGCGUCGCGCAAAGAGAGCUGGCGGGGUGCGGAACCUUCGGUGCGUUAGAGCGGAGCUAGACCGUCCAAACUCGGCAGGUGAGUCCCCCAUUUGUUGCUUCCCGGGCCUUGCCGUUCGGCAAGUCCAGCCAUGGUAUAUGUUGUGAAACGUAUUUGGGUGCCUUGAUCAAAUUUGGCCUAGCCUUGUACUAGGGUUGGGCUUAGGAAAUGGUCUAGCACACUUGGAAUUGUGGAGACUCCGUUUUGUGUUUGCACGGGCCUUGCCGUUCGGCAAGGUCCCUAAAUUUCUCCCGAUUGUAUUUUGUUUCUUGUUUGUAUAUUUGAAAAUUGAAUUUCAAAUUAUGUGUAGGUACAAGGGAUUUAGGAGGGAAUAUGAAAGGGUGCUAGGGUUUGCUCGUGAAACGAGGCGUGGGUACCCUUAGUUGGCUACAAAUAGGAACUUGGAGUGGUGAAGGCACCACACUUGAGUUGAGUUGAGAAAAAUUGUGAGAAUUUGAAGGAGAGGAAAGGCGAUUUCCGGCGAUUAGUUUGUGGUGGUGCUUGUGGCUGAGGUGAUUUCCGGCGAUCCAUUCGUGGUGCUACGAACAAGGUUAGACCUUAUUUCGCUAGAACCUUUGAAUUGAAAUGUAUUGUUUUGAAUGAACAUGUUGAAGGCUAGGAAGAACACAUUGAACAUGAGCAUGAACAUGAUGAACACGUUGAACAUAUGUAUGAACAUGUAGAAUUCUUGCCUGGUAUGAAGAUUUGGCAAAUUUUUGUUGUUGUGGUUCGAUCCUCCUUGCAUGUGCAUUAGUUCCUUUUUCUUGUUUUUGGCAAAUUGUAGAUGUCUGAAAGUUCUGAUAGAGAAAGUCCUGACCCUCCUGCCUUUGGUGGGGAUAACACUGAGAGUGAAGAGCCCAGCCAAUAUAUAUGUUCUGAAGAGGAAAGUUCAGAGACAGAGGGUAUGGUAGAAGGAACCAUAGAAAGUAGGAUGAUAGGGCCUGGGGGUGAGAGGGCUGAGCCAUCGGGAGACUCUGGGCCGGCUGCAUAUAGGGAGAUGCAGAGAAAUUAUAUAGAGUUAGAGGCUAUAGCAAAUCGGGUUCUAGCCUUGCCUCAAACGCAAGAAGUGGGUUCGAGCAACCAGGCAUCACCAUCAGGGUCUGUGGGUAUAGCCGUGGCUUCGGUAUCAGAGGGAUUAGACAUCUGGGUUGGUGUCCCGUUGCCACGGCGGAAUACACUUACAGAAGCGAAAUUGGCCCAGCUACGAACAGAUUUUUGUGUGCCAGCUUAUGUGGGCUUGAGGUUACCCACGGAGGCUGAUGUAGUCAGAUAUCCCUCGGAUGGCUCCGUGAUGAUUUUUACAGAUAUGUAUCGGCAUGGCUUCAGACUACCGUUUCAUCCGUGGGUUCAGAUGAUGUUGGCCAAGUUGGGGUAUGCACCGGGGCAGUAUAAUCCCAACUUUUGGAUUCUUCUUCAUGGGGUGUACAUCGCGUGGUGGUUGGCUGGGUUGGGGGAGCCAACGUUCGAGCAGUUCAUGUACUUGUAUUCUAUUUCGAAGCAGCAGGGGAAUUUUGGCGGGGUACAGGCGAAUUGCCGAAAGGCGAAGGAGAGAGGCUAUUUUAUUGGACACAAGCCAACGACGCAAAAGUCCUGGAGGAACAGGUGGUGCAUGGCUUAUGGGAACUGGGAGAGUCCGCCAGGGAAGAGCGUUGUCCAACACAUUCCUACCCACUUCUAGUCUAUAGGUCCUUGGCCCCAUCCCUUAAGAUUGUCUAAUGCUUGAUUGUGUUGUCUUGGCUCCUAUUUGUGGUUCUGUAUUUUGUCUGUGCCAGUAUAAAUGGCUAAGUAGUAUCUAACCUUUGGUGCAGGUUCAGUGAAGUGGGGGCCUAUCUCCAAGGAGCAGGAAGACGAGGUUGAGUGGGUGAGGGCGCAGCUGUCAGAGACUGAGCGUGAGUGCGAGAACCUAGUCACGCAGAAGAAUUUGUUUGAGUCCGGACUCCUUCAAGGAAGUAAGUACCUGGGUCACACUUAUGAGUUGUGUGCUGAGUCCUUUGUGGUUGUGAC
rnacentral:lncRNA from 1 species